AAUCACACAAUAAAAACCUUUCACCCAAAGGCUCCAAGGUAGAGCCAAAGUGAAAACAGAAUAUACAAUAGAGACAUUCCACUCACAUUAUUAUAUCAUAACUCAUAAAGAAUAUUGAGAAUAGCAUUUAAGCACAAACAUCAGGAUUGGCCACAAGGUACUCCUCAAUAGCCUUGUACAAUCCCAUAGCUCUGUCUUUACCCUUCUUGAUAUCGUCCUCCUUGAGCUCACAACCCUCUUGGACGUGGUACUCGCUAGUCAUCUUGCAGACACAUCCACUACCAGCAGCAACGAAUUUCACAUCUUCCACGACCAAGUCAAUCUUGUCAAAUUUUAUAUCACUUUCAAUCAUAGUAUAUUUGCAGUAAAAGCUACCAGCAUCAAGAGCAUCGAUCUUGUGCUUGAUGUACUUGAUGUGGGAGCCUGUUAUGGAAAUUCAUUAAAGCGAAGAAGUUAGUUAUUAAUUGUAAGGUCUAUAUAUAGACUUGACAUGGUAGAAGUAUGAGUAUGAUUUGACUUACUUUCACCGAAGUUGGUUUGCUUGAUGCUACCAACUCCACCAUCUCCCUCGAUGAACUCAAUGCUCUUGAUGCCCUCGGGAACAAUCUUGGGUAGCAUAUUCUGUGAGUCAAGGAACAAAGCCUUGAACAUCCUUGACGGUGCAACAACACUUGUGAUCUCUUGCGAAUAGGUGAUGACGCCCAUGUUGGCCUUGUAAGAGACAAAGAGAACAGAACUCAAGAGGGGGUGGUGGAAAGGUUCGGUGUGAUUGCUAAAGGAGAAGGCUUGAGCUGAUGAAGCUGAUGAAGAUGAUGAAGAGAACUCCUUGGUACUUAUAGCCAAAGUCCAUCGUUUAUUAUUCCGUCAUUCAAGGUCAAAGCUCGCCGAAUUGGACCCAGCCGAAUUGCUUUCCAGCCUUUCUUUUUUUUUCUUAUUGGCCGGAGCCACCGAUCAUCUGGAAGGUCACGAAAAAGGACAAUUCACGGUCAAAGCUCUUUUGUCUGGCCAUUAUAUAAAUUUUCGCAAACGUUGUGGGCCCAUCACGAUAGUCUAUAGACUCUAUACUUGGUAUUCCACUUCUCUAGAAAAAGUAAUUCAAAUGGAAUAUUUUGGACGUAAAGUUAAUCAUCCAUUUUCGUAAAGAAAGCGUAAAAUAAGCGAGUCUAGAUAAAUUAAUCUCUUUCUCACCUCUAAAUUGCCUGCAUAAAAUAUUUGUCAAAAAUUGAAUUUUUUAUACCAUAAACUCAUUCAGACACAAAUUUUAGGCUUAAUAUCAUAUGGCCAUGACCACCUUUGCUAAAGCAUAACUCUAUGUUCGUUGGUUGUGCUACCAAGGACAGAUGCAGAAAUAAGUUUAGGAGCUGAUUCCCUUGGGGAAAGGACAGACUUCUAGCUACGACCAUCAAAUAAAUGUCUAAUUUUUAAUAUAGAUGGUGCAUGAAAAGAUAACAAAUGAGCUAUAGGUAUUUUGCAUGAUCGACUAGUGGCUAAGUAGUCCAACCUUGGACCAAAAAAUAAAAACGUUGGAACUCGUCGAUGGAAGUGUAAGCAGCAGCUCUUAUUCUCGCAUGCAUUUAUGCUCAGUCCCUCGGCAUCAGAAAAGACUGAUUGCGAUGUCUUAAUUAAUGUCUCCCUUUCAUCACAAAUUCUUACUUCCUACUUCAACACAAUACGGGCUGGAGUUAGGCUUGGGCCCAUGAACCUAAUAAUGGAGCUACUCAUGCGCUUCCAAAUUGGGCAUUCAAUCAAAUAGGAGCUACCUUUUCUUUUUUACAAACUCCUAUCUAAGUUAAAAAUAUUAUAUUAGUAGUCUUCUUUGAUUUAUUAUUUUAAUUCGGGUAUCGCAUCCUGAAUGUAAUGAAAAGUUAUUUCUAGGGGGAAAAAAGGGACAUUGGCGGAGCCCUUUUUUAUCCUUUUUAUCAACUAGAUCCGAUUUAUUGUGCUUCUGAUUUGUUUAUUAUUAUUAUUCUGGAUAUUGUGCUUCUGUUUACGAAAGGCCAGUUUUUGCUAGUUUGACUUUAAAUUGCCAUUGUAGCUAAGUCAUAAUAUCGAAAUGACCGUACCCAAAACUCCCUACGGAAAACUUAGGUUAUCUCACAAAGGCACAUGUCCCUAUCAUGACCAUUCUUCCACUUCUUUUAAUAUUUUUCUACCUAUUAUUUUUCUUUUGUGGUAGUUAAAUUUUCUCCCUUUUAUUCAGGAAACAACGGUUGCCUUCCAUGAUUUUCAAAGAAGAACACUAUAGCUUAAUUAAUCCAUGUUAAGUUGUUUAAUUAUGAUUAAUACAAUUAGUGGAAAAUUUUUAUUUCUUAUAAAUCAAAUUGGAUAAAAAAAAAAAAACAGGGUCCCACUGUAUUCUCAUCAAAAGCAGAAUGAUUAUGUAACCAAAUGUUGUAGAUUAUAGAGUCAAAGCGAAUUCUUUGUAAAAAAAUUGCCAAUCUAUCCAAGACUACAUGUUCAUCUUUAGGUGAUGCCACCCAUCUUUGCCUUGAAACGAACUCGAGUAGGAAAUGGAAGGAUCUGGUUUGGUGUGAUAGAAGAAGGCUUUAGCUGAUGAAGAUGAUGAAGAGAAAUCUAUAGUACUUACAACCAUGGCAAGUCCAGAGUUCAGCACUCCAUCAUCAUCAUUCAAAGUACAAAGCACUCCCAAUUGGACCGGGCGACCUACUUUCAAGCCUUUCUUGUUUUCCUUUUGGGAAGAACCAAUCCAGAAGGUUAGGAAAGGACAAAUCACGAUUAAAAGCUCUUUUGUCUGGCCCCGAUUUGCCUGGAUACGAUCUUUCUCGUGAAGAAAAUUGAAUUUUCAUGCUAUGAACUGAUUUAGACACAGAUUUAAGCUUAUAACAGACAACCAUGACCACCAUUGCUAAGAUAUGAUUCUACGUUCGUUCGUUGCGCCAUCAGGGAUGGCCGCAGAGCGCUUUUGCUUUCUUUCCCUUUUCUUUUCGCUUUUGCUCUGUUUCCGAAGGGCAAUUUUGCUAGUUUGACUUUUCAAAUGCCUUUGAUAGCUACGUCCUCGGAUCCAAAUGACCGUACUCUAAAUUUGGAUCAACCCAUCAAAUUUUUUGCUAAGUUCUUUUCUACCUUUUAUUUUAUUUUAUUGUUUCUAGCCAAAUUUUCUCCAUUUUGUUUGGCAGGAUGGAUUUAAUUAGGUAAACAAUCUCAAUGUUUGCUUUCAGGAUUUGCGAAGAAGCAUACUACAGCUUAAUUUAUCAAUUUUAAGUUGCAUAGUUUUGAUGAAUACAAUUAGUGGAAAAAAAAUUAACAAAUCAAAUUGGAUUAAUUCAUUUUUCCCUCAAUCUCUUCUUUUUGCAACUGAUCCAUAAGUCAAGUCAAAAUUCACCUUCAUGACCACAAAGGAAGAUCUUUUCUUGGGUAAAACCCAUAAUUUAUUGGAUUGUUCAUUGCUCCUUCAAUUUUUUUGGCAUGGCCUUACACACAACCAUCAAAUCCCUUUACACUGUAGAAAUCACACAAUAAAACCUUUUCACCCAAAGGCUCCAAGGCAGAGCCAAUGUGAAAACAAAAGAUACAAUAGAGACAUUUCACUCGCUUUGCUAUAUCAUAAUUCAAAACGGAUCUUCAACAUAGCAUUUAGGCACAAACAUCGGGAUUGGCCACAAGGUACUCCUCAAUAGCCUUGUACAAUCCCAUAGCUCUAUCUUUACCCUUCUUGAUAUCCUCCUCCUUGAGCUCACAACCCUCUUGGACGUGGUACUCGCUGGUCAUCUUGCAGACACAUCCACUUCCAGCCGCAACGAAUUUCACAUCUUCCACGACCAAGUCAAUCUUGUCAAAUUUUAUAUCACUUUCAAUCAUAGUAUAUUUGCAGUAAAAGCUGCUAGCGUCAAGAGCAUCGAUCUUGUGCUUGAUGUACUUGAUGUGGGAGCCUGUUAUGCAAAUUCAUUAAAGCGAAGAAGUUAGUUAUUAAUUCUAAGGUCUAUAUAUAGACUUGACAUCGUAGAAGUAUGAGAAUGAUCUAACUUACUUUCACCGAAGUUGGUUUGCUUGAUGCUACCAACUCCACCAUCUCCCUCAAUGAACUCAAUGCUCUUGAUGCCCUCGGGAACAAUCUUGGGCAGCAUAUUCUGUGAGUCAAGGAACAAAGCCUUGAACAUCCUUGACGGUGCAACGACACUUGUGAUCUCUUGCGAAUAGGUGAUGACACCCAUGUUGGCCUUGUAAGAGAUAAAGAGAACUGAACUCAAGACGGGGUGGUGGAAAGGUUCGGUGUGAUUGCUAAAGGAGAAGGCUUGAGCUGAUGAAGAUGAUGAAGCGAACUCCUCGGUACUUGUAGGCAACGUCCAUCGUUUAUUAUUCCAUCAUUCAAGGUCAAAGCACGCCGAAUUGGACCCAGCCAAAUUGCUUUCCAGCCUUUCUUUCUUUUUUUCUUAUUGGCUGGAGCCACCGAUCACGUGGAUGGUUAGGAAAAAGGACAAAUCACGGUCAAAGCUCUUUUGUCUGGCCAUUAUUAUAAAAUUUUCGCGGACAUUGUAGGCCCAUCACGAUACUCUAUACUUGGUAUUCCACCUCUCUAGAAAAAAUAAUUCAAAUAGAAUAUUUUGGUCAUAAUGUUAAAUCAUCCAUUUUCGUCGGAGCGAAAGCGUAAAAUAGAUGAGUCUAUAUAAGUUAGUCUCUUUCUUAGCUCCAAAUUGCCUGGAUAUAAUAUUUGUCAAAAAAAAAUAUCAAAUUUUUUAUAUCAUGAACUCAUUCAAACACAAAUUUUAAGCUUAAUAUCAUAUGGCCAUGACCACCUUUGCUAAGGCAUUACUCUAUGUUCGUUGGUUGAGCUAUCAAGGACUGACGCAGAAUUAAGUUGAGGAGCUGAUUCCCUUGGGGAAAGGACAGACUUCUGGCUGCGACUAUCAAAUAAAUGUCCAAUUUUUAAUGUAGAUGGUGUAUGAAAGGAUAACAAAUGAGCUAUGGGUAUUUUGCAUGAUCGACAAGUGGCUAAGUAGUCCAACCUUCGACAAAAAGAAAAAGAAAAAGAAACAUUGGAACUCGUUGAUGGAAGUGUAAGCAGCAGCUCUUAUUCUCGCAUGCAUUUAUGCUCAGUCCCUCGGCAUCAGAAAAGACUGAUUGCAAUGUCUUAAUUAAUGUCUCCCUUUCAUCGCAAAUUCUUACUUCCUACUUCAACACAAUAUGGGUUGGAGUUAGGCUUGGACCAUGAACCUAAUAAUGGAGCUACUCAUGCGCUUCCAAAUUGGGCAUUCAAUCAAAUAGGAGCUACCUUUUCUCUUUUACAAACUCCUAUCUAAGUUAAAAAUAUUAUAUUAGUAUUCUUCUUUAAUUUAUUAUUCUAAUGCGGGUAUCACAUCUUGAAUGUAAUGAAAAGUUAUUUCUAGGGGGAAAAAAGGGACAUUGGCGGAGCUUUUUUUUUUUUUUAUCAAAGUGGAUCCGAUUUAUUGUGCUUCUGAUUUGUUUAUUAUUAUUAUUCUGGAUAUUGUGCUUCUGUUUAUAAAAGGCCAGUUUGCUAGUUUGAUUUCAAUUGCCAUUGUAGCUAAGUUAUGGAAUCGAAAUGACCGUACCCAAAACUCCGUACCCAAAACUUAGGUUACCUCACAGAGGCAAAUGUCCCUAUCAUGACCGUUCUUCUACUUCUUUUAAUUUUUUUCUACCUGUUAUUUUUCUUUUGUGGUAGUUAAAUUUUCUCCCUUUUAUUUGGGAAACAUUGCUUGCCUUCCGUGAUUUUCAAAGAAGAACACUAUAGCUUAAUUAAUCCAUGUUAAGUUUUUUAACUAUGAUUAAUACAGUUAGUGGAAAAAAUUUAUUUCUUAUAACUCAAAUUGGAUAAAAAAAUACAGAGUCCCAAUGUAUUCUCAUCAAAAGCAAAAUGAUUCACUACCACUUCUUUUAUUUUCUAGAUUGCCAGAUUAUACCAUCAUUGUCCCAUUAAAUUGCAUUUCUUUUCAUCCGAUGACAAUCUUUCUCAAUUAGGGAAUGUAUAAUGAAAUGCGCAUCCUUUUGCCCUCUAUCUCUGCUUUAUGCAACUCAUCUAGAAGUCAAGUGAAAAUUCACCUUCAUGAUUACAAAGGGAGCUAUUUGAAAAAAAGUCAUGGACAUUUUCCUUUUAUAAAAUUAGAUAGAGUCAACUGAGAGACCUAAUUGUACCGAUUUGAUGAAUUUAAUAUUUGAUUGCCUUUUAAUAGGUUUUUUAAUUCAAUUGUAUUUUCUGAUCAAAAGAAAAAGUGAGAUAGAUGUGUUUAGGGAAAAUUUGGGCAUUUCAAUACACAUUUCUUUAUUAGAACCAUCUUGCCAAAUAAAAUGGAUAAAUUUGGCCAAAUAAAAAUAAAAUAAAUUGGAGAAAAUUUGACUGGCCAAAGUAAGGUAGCAGCCUGCCAGGCAGUUAUCUAAUGGUGAUCUUUGUUUUGCCGAUAAGUCUCCAUCUAAGAAAAAAUAAAAAUAAAAAUAAAAAGUAGAAAAGAACUUAGCAGAAUGUUACAAAAGAAAAACAACGUCGCCCAAGAGAGAGUUUGGGUGCGUUUGUCUUUGUGGAUUAGAAAGAGAGAACUCUGUGGAUGAGAGAGAAAGAGAACUGCCUCUUGCUUGGAAACUUUCAUGUGUGAAGGGAAAUUUUUAUGGACUUUGACUCUCACGCCAUGAGACCGCGAUGCUAGCACUAUUCUAAUCAAAGUAUAGACGACAGUCAUUUGGAUUCAAUGACGUGGCUAUAAUGGCCUUUGAAAAGUCAAACUAGCAAACUUGCCUUUCGAGAAUGGAAGGACGAUAUAUCUGAUAUCAAGCGUAAAAUUCAUGUCAACAUCAGUUUUAAUUAUUUUUUUUAAAUCAACUUUUUCUUUGCGGAAAGGACCUUGUCUAAUCAAAUCGGACCAAAAAGGGACUAACUCAUCUAAACUCGUCCAUUUCAUGUUAUGAUUCUGGUGGAGUCAGAGCUUCAUAAUUAGGCUCACCAGCUCUGCAAUCACCUCUCGUACACAGAUUAGUUUAUAAAAGAAAAGUACAUUUAUUACAUACAUUGAUGUCAAAGAUUGACAAUCCGCAAUCGUUUUUCUCAUUUUCUUACUAAUCCAUAAAAUCCACUUUUUAUUAACGAAGAGAAAAAGAAUUUCAUUUUUGAUAAAAUGACUUUUUUAAAAUUAAGUUAUUCCACAAGAAGAAAAUAAAGGGUCGUUAAAUUUCAAGUUUAUAGUUUCACAACAAAAAUUAGAAGAUUGACUUCACAUUUGGAAUUGCACAAACAAAAAGUUAUUUAUCUUAAAGAGGUGAUAAAUAAGAAGACACAAAUAAUGAUAAAUAAAAACUAAGAUGUGAACAAAGCAAGAUUUUACGGGCCAAAAAUAAAAAAGAAGCGAGAUUUGAAAGAAAGUAAAAGAGCAAUAAAAGGUCAAUUCCAAUAAUCCAGCAGUUGUAUAUAAUAAUUUUCUUUCGGUUUGAUAAUGAUAUCCACGUUCCACUCUUCUAGAUGACGGACAGCGCCGCUGAAUAAGAAAAGAAGAAAGGCUUAAAUCAAGGCCGACUAGUCUAACUCGGUGUGCUUUGAACUUUGGAAGGUGAUGGGAUACUAACCAAUGACUUGCUUAUAAGUACCAAGUAGUUCUCUUCAUCAUCUUCAUCAGCUCGAGCCCUCUCCAUUAGCAAUCACGCCAAACCCUUCCACUACCCCUCUUUAGUUCAGUUCUCUUUGUUUCUCACAAGGCAAACAUGGGAAUCGUCACCUACUCGAUGGAGAUCACAAGUGCUGUCGCACCGUUGAGGAUGUUCAAGGCUUUAUUCCUUGAGUCCCACGAUAUCCUACCGAAGAUUGUUCCCGAGGGCAUCAAAAGCAUUGAGUUCAUUGAGGGAGAUGGCGGAGUUGGUAGCAUCAAGAAAACCAACUUCGGUGAAAGUAAGUCGGAUCAUACUUGUACUUCUAUCAUGUGAAGUCUAUAUAUAAACCUCAAGAUUAAGGAUUAAUUUCUUUGCUUUAAUGAAUUUACACAAUAGGCUCACACAUCAAGUACACGAAGCACAAGAUCGAGGCUCUCGAUGCAGAUAGCUUUUACUGCAAAUAUACUAUGAUCGAAAGUGAUAUCAAGUUUGACAAGAUCGACUUUGUCACGGAAGAAGUGAAAUUCAUCGCGGCUAGUAGUGGAUGUGUUUGUAAGAUGACCAGCGAGUACCACAUUCAGGAAGGUUGUGAGCUGAAGGAGGAGGACAUCAAGAAGGGAAAAGACAGAGCUAUGGGAUUGUACAAGACUGUUGAGGAGUACCUUGUGGCCAACCCUAAUGUUUGCGCCUAAAUGCUUUUUUCAAGAUCCUUUUUGAGUUAUGAUAUAGCAAAGUGAGUGGAAAGUUUGUAUUGUAUCUUCUGUUUCCCCUUUGGUUGUGCCUCGGAGCUUUUGGGUGAGGAAAGUUUAUAAUGGGAUUUUUAUGUUAUAAAGGGUUUGAUGGUUGUGUGUAAGGCCACGCCAAAAAUAAAACUUGAAGGAGCAAUGAGCAAUCCAAUAAAUUAUGGAUUUUGCCCAAGAAGAGAUCUCCCUUUAUGGCCAUGAAGGUGAAUUUUCACUAGCCUCAUAGAUGAGUUGCAUAAAGAAGAGAUAAGAGGGCAAAAAGAAGUGCAAGGGAAAAUUGGGCAUUUCAUUAUCCAUUUCCUAAGCUUUAUAGAUUGUCAUCAGGUGAAAAGAAAUGGAAUUUAAUGGGACAAUAAAAAAAAAAUAUCCAUUUCCACAUCUCGCCUAGAUCCAGUCAUUUCGAUUUGAUGAAAAUAAAUGCAUUUCCUAAGCGAGAGCAUUUCAUUAGAGUAUAGUCAUUUCGUUUCAAUGACUUAGCUAUAGUGGCCUUUGAAAUGUGAAACUAGGAAAAUUGUCUUUCGAAACAGAAGUACAUUAAAAAGGAUCCACUUUGAAUUUUUUUUUUAAUAAAAAAUAGUGCAUUGAAAGUCCUUAAACUUGUCAUUGAAGUGCAACUAAGUUUUAAUACUUUUAAAAAGUAUAAUUACGUCCUAAAAUUUAUCAAAUUAGUCCAAUCAAAUCUCUCCGUUGAUUACAUUUUUGAAAGUUUUAGGGAUUGAUUACAUUUUUGUAAUAAAUUUUAGAAUUUGAUUACACAUUUUGAAAGUUUUACGACUUGACUAUACUUUUAUUAUAAGUGUUAUGAUUUAAUUGCACUUUUUGAAAGUUUUAAGACUCAAAAUAUACUUUGGUGACAAGUUUUAGGACUUUCAAUAAAUUUAUCUCUAAAAAAAUAGCGCUCCUCUAUUGUCUUUUUUUUUUUUUUUUCCCUAGAUGCAAAACCUACAUUAUUAGGUUUAACGGUUGAAGCCUAACUCCAACCCGGAUUGUGUUAAAAUAGGAAGCAGGAAUCUAUGAUGAAAGGUCAAAUACUCUGAGGGCAAAGAACUUUUUGUUGGAUUACAUCAAUUAAGACAUUACAAUCGGUUUUAAACAUUUCUUUUUAGAUGCCAAGAGACUGAGCAUAAUUGCAGGCAAGAAGAAGAGUAGCUGCUCACACCUCCCCUUCCAACGCUCUCUUCAUGUCCCAGCUUUGACUACUAAGCCGCUAGCUGAUCAUGUAAUAAUACCUGCGGCUCCUUUGUUAUCUUUUCAUGCACCAUCUUCAUUAAAUUUUAGCCCCUGAUCUGACGGUGAGAGCGAGGAAUCUGUCAUCUUCCCAACAGAAUCGGCUCCUAAACUUCUUUCUGCAGCUGUCCUCGACAGCGCAACGAAUGAACAUAGAAUUAUGCCUUAGUAAAGGUGGUCAUGGCUGUCUGAUAUCAAGUCUAAAAUCCGUGCCUGAAUGAGUUCAUGAUAUAAAAAAAUUCAAUUUUUUUUCAAUAAAGAUUGUAUUAAGGCAAUUCGGAGCUGAAUAAAGGGAUUAACUUAUCUAGACUUGCCUAUUUUACUUUUUUGUUCUGAUAACGGAUAAUUCACAUUAUGACCAAAAUAUUUGAUUUGAAUUACUUUUUCUAGAGAGGUGGCAUACUCGGUAUGGAAUAUGGAAUAUUGUAUUGGGCUCACAGUGUCUGCAAAUGAAUGUGUAAUUUUUUAUUAAUUGUAACAAAUUUAUAAUAAUGGCCAGACAAAAGAGCUUUGAUCGAGAUUUGCCUUUUUCUUCACCUUCCAGAUAAUUGGUGGCUCCUCCCGAUAAGAAAACAAGAAAGGCUGGAAAGUAAUUCGGCUCAGUCCAAUUCGGAGUGAUCGGAACUUUGAUUGAUGAUGGAGUACUAAGCCUUGGACUUUGCUAAGUGCCAAGUAGUUCUCUUCCUUGUCUUCAUCAGCUCAAGGCUUCUCCAUUAGCAAUCAUACCAAACCCUUCCACCACCGUUCUUAAGUUCCGUUCUCUUUGUCACCUACUCGAUGGAGAUCACAAGUGCCGUCACACCGUCGAGGAUGUUCAAGGCUUUAGUCCUUGACUCCCACAACAUCCUACCCAAGAUUGCUCCCGAGGGCAUCAAAAGUGUGGAGUUCAUCGAGGGAGAAGGCAGAGUUGGUAGCAUCGAGCAAACCAACUUUGGUGAAAGUAAGUUAGAUCAUGCUCAUACUUCUACCGUAGCAAGUCUAUAUAUAGACCUCAGAAUUAUGAAUUAACUUAUUCAUUUUGAUGAAUUAACAUAAUAGGCUCCCACAUCAAGUACAUGAAACACAAGAUAGAGGCUCUCAAGGCAGGUAGCUUUUACUGCAAAUAUACUAUGAUCGAAAGCGAUAUCAAGUUCGACAAGAUUGACUUCAUUGUGGAAUAAGUGAAAUUUGUCGCAACAAAUAGCAGAUACGUUUGUAAGAGGACCAGCGAGUACCACAUUCAGGAAGGUUGUGAGCUAAAGGAGGAGGAUAUCAAGAAAGGUAAAGACAAAGUUAUGGGAUUGUACAAGGCUGUUGAGGAAUACCUCAUGGCCAACCCUGAUGUUUGCGCCCAAAUGCUUUUCUCAAGAUCCUUUUGGAGUUAAGACAAAGUAAAGUGAGUGGAAAGUUUGUAGUGAAUUUUUUGUUUCCCCUUCGUGGCUCUGCCUUGGAGCCUUUGGGUGAGAAAAGGUUUUUAUGGUGUGAUUUCUAUGUUAUAAAGGGUCGGAUGUUUGUGUGUAAGGCCAUGCAAAAAAUUAGAACUUGAAGGAGGAAUGAGCAAUCCAAUAAAUUAUGGAUUUUGCCCAAGCAAUCCACUUCCAGCCGCAACGAAUUUCACAUCUUCCACGACCAAGUCAAUCUUGUCAAAUUUGAUAUCACUUUCAAUCAUAAUAUAUUUGCAGUAAAAGCUGCCAGCGUCAAGAGCAUCGAUCUUGUGCUUGAUGUACUUGAUGUGGGAGCUUGUUAUGCAAAUUCAUUAAAGCGAAGAAGUUAGUUAUUAAUUCUAAGGUCUAUAUAUAGACUUGACAUGGUAGAAGUAUGAGUAUGAUCUGACUUACUGAAGUUGGUUUGCUUGAUGCUACCAACUCCACCAUCUCCCUCGAUGAACUCAAUGCUCUUGAUGCCCUCGGGAACAAUCUUGGGUAGCAUAUUCUGUGAGUCAAGGAACAAAACCUGAACAUCUUGACGGUGCAACGACACUUGUGAUCUUUUGCGAAUAGGUGAUGACACCCAUGUUGGCCUUGUAAGAGAUAAAGAGAACUGAACUCAAGAGGGGGUGGUGGAAGGGUUUGGUGUGAUUGCUAAAGGAGAAGGCUUGAGCUGAUAAAGAUGAUGAAGAGAACUCCUCGGUACUUAUAGGCGAAGUCCAUUGUUUAGUAUUCCAUCAUUCAAGGUCAAAGCACGCCGAAUUGGACCCAGCCGAAUUGCUUUCCAGCCUUUCUAUUUUUCUUAUUGGCUGGAGCCACCGAUCACGGGGAAGGUUAGGCUAAAGGACAAAUCACGGUCAAAGCUCUUUUGUCUGGCCAUUAUUAUAAUUUUUCGCAGACAUUAUGGGCCCAUCACGAGACUCUAUUCCACCUCUCUAGAAAAAGUAAUUCAAAUAGAUAUUUGUCAUAUGUAAUCAUCCGUUUUCAUCAGAGCAAAAGCGUAAAAUAGAUGAGUCUAGAUAAGUUAAUCUCUUUCUCAGCUCCAAAUUGUCUGGAUAUAAUCUUUGUCAAAAAAUAAAAAAUUAAAUAACGAGGGAAGGAAAAAAGUAUACGGAACGAGAAGUGAAGGCGGGGGCAGGUUUUUCCUCCCUCUGGAAAGUUUUUCGCUUUUCUUUUUCCCUUCUCUCUCGUCAUAGGCAAAUUCCUGCCGGUAAGAAUGUGGAGAAGAACAGACAGGCUCAAAGACCGGAAUAAGGACAUCCACUCGCCCUAAACAAAUGAAUAAGGUUGGAGAGGGCUUUCGCUCUCGACCGCGGGCCUCCCCUGGAAAGAUCCAAACCUUCCUCUUCGGAGCGGAAACGGACGUGGCCAAAACAUAUAAAGAUCGGCGUAGUCGCUCUUAAUGUUGAAUCUUCCACCCCUGAACGGUGAACAAACCAAUCUACUUCUUCCGGAUCACCCUCGGAUCGCUCACUCCAUACGAUCUAAUCGUGAACUCAUUCAUACACAAAUUUUAAACUUAAUACCAAACAGCCAUAACCACAUUUGUUAAGGCAUAAUUCUAUGUUCGUUGGUUGAGCUAUCAAGGACAGACGCAGAAAUAAGUUGAGGCGCUAAUUCCCUUGGGGAAAGGACAGACUUCUGGCUGUGACCGUCAAAUAAAUGUCCAAUUUUUAACUUAGAUGGUGCAUGAAAGGAUAACAAAUAAGCUAUGGGUAUUUUGCAUGAUUGACUAGUGGCUAAGUAGUCCAACAUUGGACAAAAAAAAAAAGAAUGUUGGAACUCGUUGAUGGAAGUGCAAGCAGCAGCUCUUAUUCUCGCAUGCAUUUAUGCUCAGUCCCUCGGCAUCAGAAAAGACUGAUUGCGAUGUCUUAAUUAAUGUCUCCAUUUCAUCGCAAAUUCUUAGGCAGAAGAACAGUCCAAGUGCCAUAACUUGGUAUGGGAGGACACUUAAGUGCCAUAACUUCAAAAUGGUAUACUUGAGUGCCAGUUUCGAAGUUAAAUGGAACACUUAAGUACCACUCCGGCGAAAAUCCGGCCAAAUGACUGACGUGGCAAUUUUCCGGCGAGUUUGGUCCAAAAUGACGUUAUUUUGCACGCUGGUGUGGCGAGAAAAUGCAAAAACAGCACUGUUUCGUGUUUGACAUGUAAAUAAUAAUAUAAAAACUAAUAAAUUAGAUUUAAACUUAAUUUUAUUUAAAAUAUUCUAAAAAUAAAAAAAGGGGUGGGGGGGAGGGAGGUCGAAGGGGGCGGCUGAGGGCUAAUCCCUCGCCNNNNNNNNNNNNNNNNNNNNNNNNNNNNNNNNNNNNNNNNNNNNNNNNNNNNNNNNNNNNNNNNNNNNNNNNNNNNNNNNNNNNNNNNNNNNNNNNNNNNNNNNNNNNNNNNNNNNNNNNNNNNNNNNNNNNNNNNNNNNNNNNNNNNNNNNNNNNNNNNNNNNNNNNNNNNNNNNNNNNNNNNNNNNNNNNNNNNNNNNNNNNNNNNNNNNNNNNNNNNNNNNNNNNNNNNNNNNNNNNNNNNNNNNNNNNNNNNNNNNNNNNNNNNNNNNNNNNNNNNNNNNNNNNNNNNNNNNNNNNNNNNNNNNNNNNNNNNNNNNNNNNNNNNNNNNNNNNNNNNNNNNNNNNNNNNNNNNNNNNNNNNNNNNNNNNNNNNNNNNNNNNNNNNNNNNNNNNNNNNNNNNNNNNNNNNNNNNNNNNNNNNNNNNNNNNNNNNNNNNNNNNNNNNNNNNNNNNNNNNNNNNNNNNNNNNNNNNNNNNNNNNNNNNNNNNNNNNNNNNNNNNNNNNNNNNNNNNNNNNNNNNNNNNNNNNNNNNNNNNNNNNNNNNNNNNNNNNNNNNNNNNNNNNNNNNNNNNNNNNNNNNNNNNNNNNNNNNNNNNNNNNNNNNNNNNNNNNNNNNNNNNNNNNNNNNNNNNNNNNNNNNNNNNNNNNNNNNNNNNNNNNNNNNNNNNNNNNNNNNNNNNNNNNNNNNNNNNNNNNNNNNNNNNNNNNNNNNNNNNNNNNNNNNNNNNNNNNNNNNNNNNNNNNNNNNNNNNNNNNNNNNNNNNNNNNNNNNNNNNNNNNNNNNNNNNNNNNNNNNNNNNNNNNNNNNNNNNNNNNNNNNNNNNNNNNNNNNNNNNNNNNNNNNNNNNNNNNNNNNNNNNNNNNNNNNNNNNNNNNNNNNNNNNNNNNNNNNNNNNNNNNNNNNNNNNNNNNNNNNNNNNNNNNNNNNNNNNNNNNNNNNNNNNNNNNNNNNNNNNNNNNNNNNNNNNNNNNNNNNNNNNNNNNNNNNNNNNNNNNNNNNNNNNNNNNNNNNNNNNNNNNNNNNNNNNNNNNNNNNNNNNNNNNNNNNNNNNNNNNNNNNNNNNNNNNNNNNNNNNNNNNNNNNNNNNNNNNNNNNNNNNNNNNNNNNNNNNNNNNNNNNNNNNNNNNNNNNNNNNNNNNNNNNNNNNNNNNNNNNNNNNNNNNNNNNNNNNNNNNNNNNNNNNNNNNNNNNNNNNNNNNNNNNNNNNNNNNNNNNNNNNNNNNNNNNNNNNNNNNNNNNNNNNNNNNNNNNNNNNNNNNNNNNNNNNNNNNNNNNNNNNNNNNNNNNNNNNNNNNNNNNNNNNNNNNNNNNNNNNNNNNNNNNNNNNNNNNNNNNNNNNNNNNNNNNNNNNNNNNNNNNNNNNNNNNNNNNNNNNNNNNNNNNNNNNNNNNNNNNNNNNNNNNNNNNNNNNNNNNNNNNNNNNNNNNNNNNNNNNNNNNNNNNNNNNNNNNNNNNNNNNNNNNNNNNNNNNNNNNNNNNNNNNNNNNNNNNNNNNNNNNNNNNNNNNNNNNNNNNNNNNNNNNNNNNNNNNNNNNNNNNNNNNNNNNNNNNNNNNNNNNNNNNNNNNNNNNNNNNNNNNNNNNNNNNNNNNNNNNNNNNNNNNNNNNNNNNNNNNNNNNNNNNNNNNNNNNNNNNNNNNNNNNNNNNNNNNNNNNNNNNNNNNNNNNNNNNNNNNNACGUUCGCUGAUAGAGACCGCCGCCGGUCGGCCGAGGGUCGGUGACCCCAACGAACCCUCCCCUCUCUGUCGCCGGCCCUUCCCAGCGAGGGGUCAGCCCUCAGCCGCCCCCUUCGAUCUCCCCUCUUUUUUUUUUCUUAAAUUUUUUUAAUUUUUAGAAUAUUUUAAAUAAAAUUAAGUUUAAAUCUAAUUUAAUUAGUUUUUAUAUUAUUAUUUACACAUUAAACACGAAACGGCAUCAUUUUUGUAUUUUAUCGCCAGGUCAGCGUGCAAAACGACGUCAUUUUGCACUAAACUUGCUGGAAAAUUGCCACGCCAGUCAUUUGACCAGGUUUUCGCCGAAGUGGCACUUUAAGUGUUCCAUUUAACUUCGAAACUGGCACUCAAGUGUACUAUUUUAAAGUUAUGGCACUUAAAUAUCCUCCCGUGCCAAGUUAUGGCACUCCAAGUGUCCCAAACUCCAAAUUCUUACUUCCUACUUCAACACAAUACGAGUUGGAGUAAGGCUUGGGCACAUGAACCUAAUAAUGGAGCUACUCAUGCGCUUCCAAAUCGGGCAUUCAAUCAAAUAGGUGCUACCUUUUCUUUUUUACAAACUCCUAUCUAAGUUAAAAAUAUUAUAUUAGUAGUCUUCUUUAAUUUAUUAUUCUAAUGCAGGUAUCGCAUCCUGAAUGUAAUGAAAAGUUAUUUCUUGGGGGAGAAAAGGGACAUUGGCGGAGCGCUUUUCUAUUUUUUUUUUUUUUUUUUAUCAAAGUGGAUCCUAUUUAUUGUGCUUCUGAGUUGUUUAUUAUUAUUAUUCUGGAUAUUGUGCUUCUGUUUACAAAAGGCCAGUUUGCUAGUUUGACUUUUCAAUUGCCACUCUAGCUAAGUCAUGGAAUCGAAAUGACCGUACCGAAAACUUAGGUUACCUCACAUAGGCAAAUGUCCCUAUCAUGAACGUUCUUCUACAUCUUUUAAAUUUUUUCUACCUGUUAUUUUUCUUUUGUGGUAGUUAAAUUUUCUCCCUUUUAUUUGGGAAACAAUGCUUGCCUUCCAUGAUUUUCAAAGAAGAACACUAUAGCUUAAUUAAUCCAUGUUAAGUUGUUCAAUUAUGAUUAAUACAGUUAAUGGAAAAUUUUUAUUUCUUAUAAAUCAAAUUGGAUAAAAAAAAUACAGAGUCCCAGUGUAUUCUCAUCAAAAGCAAAAUGAUUCACUACCACUUCUUUUAUUUUCUGGAUUGCUAGAUUAUACCAUCAUUGUCCCAUUAAAUUGCAUUUCUUUUCAUCUGACGACAAUCUAUCUUAGUUUGCGAAUGUAUAAUGAAAUGCGCAUCCUUUUGCCCUCUAUCUCUGCUUUAUGCAACUCAUCUAGAAGUCAAGUGAAAAUUCACCUUCAUGAUUACAAAGGGAGCUAUUUUCUUGGGCAAAAUCCAUAAUUUAUUGGAUUGCUCAUUCCUCCUUCAAGUUCUAUUUUUACGCAUGGCCUUACACACAACCAUCAAACCCCUAUAAACAUAGAAAUCACACCAUAAAAACCUUUCCUCACCCAAAGGCUCCGAGGCAGAGCCACAAAGGGGAAACAAAAGAUUCACUACGAGCUUUCCACUCACUUUACUUUGUCUUAACUCCAAAAGGAUCUCGAGAAAAGCAUUUAGAUGCAAACAUCAAAGUUGGCCACGAGGUACUCCUCAAUAGAGGUGUUAAAAUGGGUCUAAAAUGGGUUAUAAAAGGGUCACUUGUUUUUGACAAAAAGUAGUUAAAUGGGUUUCACAAUUAAAGGUUCAAGAUAGGUGGGUCUUAAGUGGGUUUUAAAUAGGUUGGGUGGAGAACCCAUUUUCAACAAAAACCUUAUAAUCUCUCUCUUCCCUCUUUAACUUUAUAAAAAUAUAUAUUUUUUUUGUAAAAAUCGAAAUUAUAGUUUUUUUUUAAAUUUUCUCUUUUCUUUUUCUUUCCUUUUUUUUUCUUUUUUUUUUCUUUCUCCUUCUUCCUUUCGAUCGCCGGCACGGCGAUGGCCGGCGACCGGCCAGGUGAGCCUCGAGCUCGCCGAAUCUGGCGAGGCGGAGGCCUUGCCGAUGCCCUGCGAGGCUCAAGCCUCGCCGAUCUAGUGAGAUUCGAGCUCGACAGUGUUAGGCGAGGCUCGAGCCUCGAUAGUUCUGGUGAGGGGCGAGCUUGAGCUCACUCAACACCGGUGAGGCUCAAGGCUCACCGUCGCUGGGCGAGCUCGAGCUCGCCAGAUCCGGCGAGCCUCAAGGCUUGCCGAUGCCAGGCGAGCUCAAGCUUGCUAGAUCCGACGAGCCUCGAGGCUCGCCUGUGGCUGAUCGCCAGUUGUCGUUGUGGCCGGCAGCCGGCCAAAGAAGAAGAAGAAGGAGAAGAAAGAAGAAAAGAAAAAAAAAGUAUAUUUAAAAAAUAAAAUAAAAUUAAUUAUAAAAUUAAUUUUUAAAAAAUAAAAAAAUAAUUAAAAUUCAAAUUUUUAAAAUAAUUAUUUUAAAAAUUAUAAAAAUUUUCCUUUAAAUUUGUGUUGUAUAAAACUAUUUUCGUAAUAUAAUUUUAAAAAUUGUCCAUUGAGAAAUAAGUUUGGAAGUAUUUUAGUAAUAUAAUCUUUAAAAAAAACAUAGAAAUAAGUUUUUCUAAAUUUGGUUAAAUAUGAAAAUAUUUUAUUAAUAUGGGUUAGGUCGGGUAUGGGUUGGGUCGGAUAUGGGUUAGAAAUUUUACAUUAUGCAUAAAUGGGUCAUAAAUGAGUUAAUGGGUCAAUUUGGGUUGGACCAUUAAUGAUCCGACCCAAACCCGACCCAACUCACCCGUUUAACGGCUCUAACCAUGAUGGCUCGACCGAGAUUUGGAGGAGGAGUUGCUCGGCCAUGGCUCGGUCGAGAUUUAGAGAAGGUUUAGCGCUCAGCUUUUCUGAAGCUUAAUGAUGAUUGGAGGAGGGAGUCACCGAGAUCUAAAGGUUGGCCAGGUCUAUUGUGGCCAUGGCUUCAUGGUUCCAAAUCUAGAUGCGGCCAAGUGAUCUUGGAAGGGGCGGAGAUGGUGGUCGGACGGGUGUUCUCUGUCAGGGAGGAAGAUGAAGAGAGAAAAAAAGAUUUUUAUUUUUUUAAUUCCACCUCAUCCAACACGUGUCAAUCUAUUAUUAUUAUUAUUAUUAUUAUUAUUAUUAUUAUUAUUAUUAUUAUUAUUAUUAUUAUUAUUAUUAUUAUUAUUUGUCAGUUCUACUCUAUGCCUACUCUACACUCACUCUCAGACUUUUGUCCUGCCUUUUGCAGAGCAUGGGAGUCGAAACUCACUCCUGAAACUUACUCAUCCCCACCCUAUCCUCCUGAGAAUGUGAGAAUUUGAACCCCUCACCUCCCAUUUUUUUGUUGGAAUGGUGGCCACUGGAGCGAAUCCCAGUGGUUGUCGAUCUAUUAUUGGAUAUAAAUAAAAAACGCGCACCACAUCAGCAAUUGACUUGGCGCUUUGGAACCACCGAAUAUUUUCUCCAACUCAAGGCUAUGUUUUUCCUCAUCCUUUUUUUUCGGUUUAAGGAGUGGUUGGUCCCACCGAGCCCGGGCCCACAAAGCCCAAGUUGGAUCCAGCCACUGUCCAGUGUCCACUCCCAUCUCCAAAAAAGCUCCUCAUAAUUGCGAUUAGCUCACUCGAAAUGACUAUAUUACCCCUGCAUGAAGUUUGCACUGCUCUCACGAUAGGGCAGGACUUUUCAGUAAAUUCCCCCUCUAUCUAGUCAUCUCUCUCUCCAUUCCUUCCUUCUUCGAGCUUCGAGCCUCCACCAGUUCGGAGCUACAUUCCUUCCUUCGCCUCCGAGAAUCGAACCUCCAUCUCUUCGCUCGCCGGCAAGCCGCAUUCCGGACCUCAGGCUCGUCGCUCGAGUCCAUCUCCGGCGGUGGGCGCCGGUGCCAGUGACCGAUGGAGACGGGGACGAUGGCGACCGCGGCGGGGGCGGCGGUGCUCCUGUGCUAUGUCAUCAAGAGGACGCUGGCCUCGAAGGGCAAGGACGACGCCGGGGACCGGGCCGCCAGGUGUUAGGGAAAUCCCUUAUGAUGUUUUGAAGAUGACAAAAUAAAUCAAAGGCUACUAACAUAUUUGAUGGUUGAGUAAUAGACCAUGCAGAUGUUAGAACAUGUAGAGGAUAUUAUCAAAGUCAUAAGAUGACCAGAAGACUGAACGUAACAUGUCCAAAAUAUAUUCUGAAGAUUUCCAGACUUCUAUGUCAAAGUCUGAAGACUGCCAGACUCAAGACUCAAAGUCUGAAGACUGCCAGACUCAAGACUCAAAGUCUGAAGACUGCUAGACUUUAGUGUCAAAGUCUGUUCUACAUUAGAAGUCUGCUCACUCUGAUAAAUUCCAGACUGAACGUGAAAGCUGAACCAGAAGACAGACUCUAUGCUGAAGCUGAACUGGGUACAGACCCAGAUUGUAAAGUCUAGAGACUCAGAUUGUAAAGUCUAGAGACUCAUAUUGUAAAGUCUACAGACUCAGACUUUACAUCCAGAUUCGAUGAAUCGUAACUCAAGCCCAAUCAUACAACGGCUAGUGAUCUGGUUUGGAUUCCACAUCAAGAUUAAUUUGAUUGAUUCAAUCUAAUUGAUUGACGAUUGGAUCUUGAAGACAAGAACUUUCUACACGAAGAAGCUUUACUUAUGGAAACCAAGAUUUCGUUUGUAUGGGCGAUCGGAAUCAAUUUGGGAUUUUACCUUUGUCACUCAACGGCUACCAAAUCUUCUUAGAUACAGAGCUGUUCAAUGGGUAUAUUGGAAGACGAUUCUCCGGGAUACUGUCCAACGAGUAGUUUGGAAGUGGAGGAGUAUUUAAGGAGAUCAUGGACCGAUGAGCAAGUAAGAGACGGAGCGUAGAAUUUAUAAUUCCAAAGUCUGAGCGACUUUUGAUCAUAUACUUGUCUCUUGAGAGCUUAAACGUUUGUAAUCGUGAGAGAAAUACCAAGAGAGUGACUUAGUGAGAUAGUGUGAUCUACUAAGUGUUUGCACUCGAAGUUGUAAUCUCUUGUUGAUUGCAUAUUGGAAUCCAGCCAAGAAGGCUGUUAUCGUGGGAGAGUGGACGUAGGCUUGGAUUAAGCCGAACCACUAUAAAUCUCGUGUUCUUAUUCUCUUCCCUAACUCCUUUAUUUUGUUCAUACUAGCACUCUCAAUUGGUAUCAGAGCCAAGUGCUCGGUUUAUAAAAGUGUUUUUACUUUUGAGCUAAAGAUUCUUUAUGGCUAGUAUAUUGGCACCAGGUCUUAUGGAAGGGCAAAGCAACACAAGGCCACCAUAUUUCGAUGGAAGAAAAUACAAGCAGAAUGGCCAGAAAAGAACAAUGAAAGAAGAUGAUGUGCAAAGAAAUAUAUGCUUGACGGCACAUUCAGAAUUUGAGUCUGACUCGGACACAGACUCAGAAUCAGAGUCUAACUCAAGCACAGACUCAGAAUCCGAUGAGGAAAUAAUGGAAAAGAAGAAGUUGGUAAUGAAUGUUUUUGGGCACAUUAUUCUCAUUAUACUUGAUAUUCGAUAUAUCCUUGAUUGAUUCAGAUUUUAUAAUGAUCAUAUUUUGUUUUAUUGAAGAAAGAAUCGCAUGAUUUGUUUUUGUGAUUCGAAAUUUAAUUUGAUACGUGUGAUCAUUUUUGAUAUCAUGCUUAAAGACAAAAUAAUUUAUUUGGUUUAUUUUUAUUCUCUCUGUUUUUAUCAUAUUAUGACUAAGUGAGAAUUUAUUUUUCAAAAUAUUAUUGUGCAUAAUAUUCUUUCUUUGAAUACCUUGUUAUGAUGAAUUAAGAAAGAAUAUUUGAUUAUGGAGAUUUUAUAUUUUACUCUAACGUCAAGGAAGGAUCCAAAUUGAUGGAUACCAAAAAGGGAAAUGAGUUGAUUGCAGGAAAUUCUUUAAGGGAAGGAUGAUUGCGAAUCUACGCAAAUUUUGGUGCAAUCAGAAAAUAUCUCCUGCGACAAUUGUGAUCGUUGCGGAUGUUGUUGCUACAAAGGAAAUAAUGGAAAAAAUAUUCUGCUCAACGUGCACAAGCAACAAUUCUAUUCGCAAAUAUUGUCAUGAUCACAGGGGGAGAAAGCAAAUCCAAAAGAAAAGGAAAAGAAUCGUGAUCAUCUCAAAAAGGCAACAAAUUGAGGGGGAGCAUUGAUCAAUUAUGGAAAAAUCUUUUUUGAUUGAUCGUGAUCUUGUUAUGAAAAGAAAAAAGGUACGUGCAUUUUAUGAUGCAUCCGUGAUUUUUAUUGGAUAUUUGCUGAUAUGAUAGAAGUGAGCUAUAUUGCAUAUCUUCAAUAUUCGAUAAAAGCUGAUUUUUCGAAAUUGUGAUUCAUGCAAGAUAUUUGUUAUCAUUCUCUACGUGAAUCCAUUAUUAUCGCUUUUUGAUUAUGACAAAAAGGGGGAGAAGUUAUGAAUAUGCAUAUGUGCUGAUUGGUUAAUAUUAUAUUAUCUAUGGCAUAAUAUUGAGCUGCGAUUAUUUUCUAAAUAUUAUUAUGCUCAAUUUAUUUGCUAUCUUCUGAUAUCCUUUGAUUUAAAUUAAAAGCAUGUUUACAAAUCUGCAUAUUCAGAGAUUGUUUUGUCAUCAUCAAAAAGGGGGAGAUUGUUAGGGAAAUCCCUUAUGAUGUUUUGAAGAUGACAAAAUAAAUCAAAGGCUACUAACAUGUUUGAUGGUUGAGUAAUAGACCAUGCAUAUGUUAGAACAUGUAGAGGAUAUUAUCAAAGUCAGAAGACGACCAGAAGACUGAACGUAACAUGUUCAAAAUAUAUUCUGAAGAUUUCCAGACUUCUGUGUCAAAGUCUAAAGACUGCCAGACUCAAGACUCAAAGUCUGAAGACUGCUAGACUUUAGUGUCAAAGUCUGUUCUACAUUAGAAGUCUGCUCACUCUGAUAAAUUCCAGACUGAACGUGAAAGCUGAACCAGAAGACAGACUCUAUGCUGAAGCUGAACUGGGUACAGACCCAGAUUGUAAAGUCUAGAGACUCAGAUUGUAAAGUCUAGAGACUCAUAUUGUAAAGUCUACAGACUCAGACUUUACAUCCAGAUUCGAUGAAUCGUAACUCAAGCCCAAUCAUACAACGGCUAGUGAUCUGGUUUGGAUUCCACAUCAAGAUUGAUUUGAUUGAUUCAAUCUAAUUGAUUGACGAUUGGAUCUUGAAGACAAGAACUUUCUACACAAAGAAGCUUUACUUAUGGAAACCAAGAUUUCAUUUGUAUGGAUGAUCGGAAUCAAUUUGGGAUUUUACCUUUGUCACUCAACGGCUACCAAAUCUUCUUAGAUACAGAGCUGUCCAAUGGGUAUAUUGGAAGACGAUUCUCCGGGAUACUGUCCAACGGGUAGUUUCGAAGUGGAGGAGUAUUUAAGGAGAUCAUGGACCGAUGAGCAAGUAAGAGACGGAGCGUAGAAUUUAUAAUUCCAAAGUCUGAGCGACUUUUGAUCAUAUACUUGUCUCUUGAGAGCUUAAACGUUUGUAAUCGUGAGAGAAAUACCAAGAGAGUGACUUAGUGAGAUAGUGUGAUCUACUAAGUGUUUGCACUCGAAGUUGUAAUCUCUUGUUGAUUGCAUAUUGGAAUCCAGCCAAGAAGGCUGUUAUCGUGGGAGAGUGGACGUAGGCUUGGAUUAAGCCGAACCACUAUAAAUCUCGUGUUCUUAUUCUCUUCCCUAACUCCUUUAUUUUGUUCAUACUAGCACUCUCACCAGGGAUCCGUCGCGAUCGGUGUUAGGGAAAUCCCUUAUGAUGUUUUGAAGAUGACAAAAUAAAUCAAAGGCUACUAACAUGUUUGAUGGUUGAGUAAUAGACCAUGCAGAUGUUAGAACAUGUAGAGGAUAUUAUCAAAGUCAGAAGACGACCAGAAGACUGAACGUAACACAUGUCCAAAAUAUAUUCUGAAGAUUUCCAGACUUCUGUGUCAAAGUCUGAAGACUGCCAGACUCAAGACUCAAACUCUGAAGACUGCCAGACUCAAGACUCAAAGUCUGAAGACUGCCAGACUUUAGUGUCAAAGUCUGUUCUACAUCAGAAGUCUGCUCACUCUGACAAAUUCCAGACUGAACGUGAAAGCUGAACCAGAAGACAGACUUUAUGCUGAAGCUGAACUGGGUACAGACCUUAAAGCUAAAUCUGUUCAGAAGCAGAUAUGUUCAGACCCAGAUUGUAAAGUCUAGAGACUCAGAUUGUAAAGUCUAGAGACUCAUAUUGUAAAGUCUACAGACUCAGACUUUACAUCCAGAUUCAAUGAAUCGUAACUCAAGCCCAAUCAUACAACGGCUAGUGAUCUGGUUUGGAUUCCACAUCAAGAUUAAUUUGAUUGAUUCAAUCUAAUUGAUUGACGAUUGGAUCUUGAAGACAAGAACUUUCUACACGAAGAAGCUUUACUUAUGGAAACCAAGAUUUCGUUUGUAUGGGCGAUCGGAAUCAAUUUGGGAUUUUACCUUUGUCACUCAACGGCUACCAAAUCUUCUAGAUACAGAGCUGUCCAAUGGGUAUAUUGGAAGACGAUUCUCCGGGAUGCUGUCCAACGGGUAGUUUGGAAGUGGAGGAGUAUUUAAGGAGAUCAUGGACCGAUUAGCAAGUAAGAGACGGAGCGUAGAAUUUAUAAUUCCAAAGUCUGAGCGACUUUAGAUCAUAUACUUGUCUCUUGAGAGCUUAAACGUUUGUAAUCGUGAGAGAAAUACCAAAAGAGUGACUUAGUGAGAUAGUGUGAUCUACUACUAAGUGUUUGCACUCGAAGUUGUAAUCUCUUGUUGAUUGCAUAGUGGAAUCCAGCCAAGAAGGCUGUUAGCGUGGGAGAGUGGACGUAGGCUUGGAUUAAGCCGAACCACUAUAAAUCUCGUGUUCUUAUUCUCUUCCCUAACUCCUUUAUUUUGUUCAUACUAGCACUCUCAAUCGGGCCGGCCAUCGAAGAGGCGGAUCCCCCGGCGGCAGCUGGCCCAGGCGCCGGCGACGCUGUUCGAGGCGAUCGCGACACUGGCGGAGACGCUCCGGUUCACGUACUCGGAGACCCUGGGGAAGUGGCCGAUCGGGGAUUGGCGUUCGGGAUCAAGUAUCUGAUGAGAAGGCAUGUAAAUGGGGCUUCGUCUCCCGGGGUAUUGGCUGGGUAUCGAUUGUUUUAGGCAUGUUCCCGUUAUGGAAUUCGGCGUAACUCGGUCGCUUGGUCUUGGAUUAGUGUGGUUCAGCUAUAGAAUGAUGUCUUGUAUAGUGUGGCAAGACGAGCCUUUUAAUCAGUGUCUUGGCUACUGACAGUUAUCCGUCACGGAUUGGGAAUGUGACCGCGCGGCGACAAGGCACUUUUGGACUGUAGAGAAAUAAAGCUUAUAGAGAGAGAGGCUUGGAGAGAAAGUAACUUGUAUUACUGAACUGAAUUAUUUUUCAUCUUUUGGGUCCAUAAAAAAGUGAUGAGGUAUUUUGCGGCAAGCGGUGAUCUUAACAAAUUCUAAACUGAAUUAUGUCAGUGGUAUUCUAAAUUAUGCAACUUAAAUUGUGCGGCUUAUUAAGAAAAUUAAAUUCCGUCAGCCUUCAUUUUGCUCCACUUAUAGAUGAUAAGACGACAGGGAGGAUAUUUUUUUUUCCCGAUGAUUUUGCGAGACACGGGAAAUUGUGGUUGGAUUCGCAGCUCAGAAUCAUUAUAGGGAAGAUUGAGACGUGCAAUCUACCACUGUGGGGAUCGUCAUAUCUCUCCAAAAAUUAAACUCCAGAAAUCUAUAAUGGAAAAUGAAACUAUUAAUUACGUUUGAUUAGUAAAUUAGUAAAUUACAGGUGAUGAUUAAAUAUACAAUUAAGUGGAUAUCUAGUUAAUUACAAAUUGUAGUGCAGUAACAACAAAUGCGUGUUGGACACCGAAUUAAGAAGUCUUCCAAUUUCAUGAUCAUGGCUGUCAAGUGUAUUUCUUUAGAAAUUAUAGUGCUAUGUCAUUACAGCUUAACCAUUAAUACACUUGGAUAUGAUGUGUAAUUUGGUGGGUUGCUAAAUUAAUCAAAAAUCAUGUAAGAAUCUCCCAAAAUUCAACUGUGAGAAACUCCCAAUAUUAUUUCAUUCAACUGUAAGAAUCUUACAAGAGUCUCUUAAAUGAUCGAAUCUCAUCUAUAAGAUUAGUGUAUUGAUGCAAAAUGACUAGGGUUCUUUUUUUGCAUAAUAACUCAAGGGCGAUGUGGAGGAAGGAAUGCACGAACGUAUAAACUGACGUUUUGUUACCAGGGUCAAAUUCCACCGUAACCAGCAGAUUUGAUUUUGGAACUGAUUUUCAUUAAAAAAGAAAAAAGAAAUGCAUGAUGAACUUGCUGGCGAAAUAUAGGAGUUAACACGGGAUGAUUUGUUGAUUUGAAUGAUCAAAAAAUCAAUAUAGGAAACAUGAAAAUGAAAGCGUGAUGAGUCAAUUAUGAGAACUCUUCAAUCUGAUAUUAAAACAUCAACGAUUCCAAUGGAAAUUUAUUAAUCACACCCAGAAUUACCAUUCGCACUCAAAAUUACAAUAGAGCACGCUUGCAUACCCCUUUUCGUGACAGAUGAGGGAAAAGACAGCAAAAUGACCCAUGACAGAAAUGGCACAAGAAGUUGCAUUUUAAACAUAGACAUUAGGGUUACCCAAUACGUACUCUUCAACGACUUUGUAGAGUCCCAUAGCCUUUUCUUUGCCUUGCUUGAUAUCAUCUUCGUUAAGCUCCACAUCCCCUCUUGUGUGGUACUCACCAAUCAUCUUGCAAAGGCAUCUACCAACGCUCGAAGCCAAGAAUUGAACCUCAUACACAAUCGAUUCGAUCUUGUCAAAUAUCACGUCACCUUCAAUCAAAGUGUACUUACAGACCAAGUUCUCAGUGUAGAGAGCAUCGAUUUUGCGCUUCGAGAACUUUAAGUGACCACCUAUAAUAUUUAAGGUAUAUUAACUAGCAUUCUAUAGAAGGUAUAUAUAUAUAUAAAGAGACAUCCAUAUAAUUGUGAAACAAAUGGGACUCUUUGAGCAUCAUUAUAAACUAACCUUUAGCGAAGUUGGUGACUUUAAUACUUCCCGCUCUUCCAUCUCCUUCAACAAACUCGAUGCUCUUAAUACCCAAAGGGGCAAUCUUGGGAAUCAGGUAGUGAGAAUCAACAAUCAAAGCCCUGAACAACAUUCUAGAUGGAGUAAUGGGAGUGGUGAAUUCUUGGGUAAAGGUGGUGACACUCAUGAUUUUGUCUUGGGAGAGGAAAGGAAUCGAACCAGAAAUUUGUGGAGAAUAAGAAGGAAUAUACGUAAGCGCUUUUUAAUAGCGGAGGAACUUGAAUUUGAUGCAGAAGAAGGAAGGACCGAGGAGCUAUUUAUACUCGUAGCUUUUAGACCUUCUUGAAAUGGAAGCAUAGAUACCUCCGCGGUGGACCUACCGGUCAAAGGACUCAACUCAAUCCAACUCUUUCUCCAAUUGUUGACGUGGCGCACGUUUUUUAUUUAUAUCCAAUAAUAGAUCGACAUGUGUUGGAUGAGGUGGAAUAAAAAAUAAAAAUCUUUUUUUUUUUUUUCAACUUCCUGCACCACCCACUCUUCUCCUCUCCUCUGCAAAUCGUUUCUCGGCCAUGGAUGACACGGCCUCCUCCUCCUUCCGGCCACUGCCUGCCCAGCCACUUGAGAAACCGGUGCGGCUGUCUCCACCGCACAAGCCAGAGGAUCUAGAUCUGGAACCGCGGAACCAUGGCCGCGUUCUUGACAGAACUUGAAGCCAUGGCCACACAACAGACCUUGGAGCCAGAUCUGUCGUAGUUAUGGCGUCACAGACUAGGCCGGCCCUCGCCAGAUCUGGGCGAGGGAUGGCCUCGUCAAGACUUGUUCCAUCAUUUUUGAAGGCUCAACCAUGAUUAGAGGUGUUAAAAUGGGUCAUAAACCCAUAUAUAACCCAUUUAAAUCAUAAAUGGGUCACUUGUUUUUGACAAAAAGUAGUUAAAUGGGUUUCACAGUUAAAGGUUCAAGAUAGGUGGGUCUUAAGUAGAUUUUAAAUGGGUUGGAUGGAGAACCCAUUUUCAACAAAAACCUUAUAAUCUCUCUCUACCCUCUUUAACUUUAUAAAAAUAUUUUUUUUUGUAAAAAUCGAAAUUAUAAUUUUUUUAUUUUAAUUUUCUCUUUUUUUUUUCUUUCUCCUUCCUCCUUCCGGUCGUCGGCACGGCGAUGGCCGGCGACCGGCCAGGCGAGCCUCGAGCUCGCCGGCAUUCGGCGAGCUUGAGCUCGCCAUAUUUGGCUAGGGGGAUGCCUCACCGACACCCGGCGAGGCUCGAGCCUCGCCAGUUCCGGCGAGAGGCAAGCUCGAGCUCCCCCGACACCGGUGAGCCUCGAGCUCGCCGGAUCUGGCAAGGCAAAGUUUAUAUUCUUUACUUUUGAAUCCGAACACGAUGCCACCAUCCACCUCGAAAUCUCAUUCAUCCCUCCCUUUCGUUCGGCCGGCAGAGAUGAAAAAUUGAACGCAACUCAAACAUAGGCCUUUAAAAAAAGAGAGAGAAAAAUUCACAUGUUUUCUUCGCGCAGAUGAAAACAAAAGAGGGCAAAUCGGCUGCUCUAAGCAACAAAAGUCUCGUGACUCUUUUCAUAGCAUUACAAUGUUACAGCGCUAGCGCGAAAAGAGCCUUGGCUUGCUAAAUCCUGGACCAGCCCCAUCUUUCAGCCACAAGUUCUUUGUACAUCUUCCUUGAUUGGCCACUCUCAUCUCAUCUCAUCUCUCUCUCUCUCUCUCUCUCUCUCUCUCUCUCUCUCUCUCUCUCUCUCUCUCUCUCUCUCUCUCUCNNNNNNNNNNNNNNNNNNNNNNNNNNNNNNNNNNNNNNNNNNNNNNNNNNNNNNNNNNNNNNNNNNNNNNNNNNNNNNNNNNNNNNNNNNNNNNNNNNNNUUCGUGGCACGCAUUCUCAGCCAAAAGCAAGAGGGGGGACAUUUCACGUAAUGGUAAAGGAAAUUUAAUGAUCCUUUAUUUUCUUCUUGUGGAAUAACUUAAUUUUAAAAAGUCAUUUUAUCAAAAAUGAAACUUUUUUUCUUCUUUAAUAAAAAGUGGAUAUUGUGGAUUAGUAAGAAAAUGAGAAAAUUGAUUGCGGAUUCUCAAUCUUUUUUUUUUUCACGGAUUCUCAAUCUUUGAGAUCAAUAUAUCUAAUAAAUUUGCUCUUCUUUUAUAACUAAUCUCUGUAUGAGAGCUGACUACCGAUCUAGUGAGCCCGACUACGAAGUUCUGACUCCACUAGAAUCAAAGCAUGAAAUGGACGAGUUUAGAUAAGUUAAUCCCUUUUUGGUUCGAUUUGAUUAGACAAGGUCCUUUUCGAAAAGAAAAAGUUAAUUUUUUUUAAUUUAAAACUGAUGUAGACAUGAAUUUUACGCUUGAUAUCAGAUAUAUUGUCCUUCCAUUCUCGAAAGGCAAUUUUGCUAGUUUGACUUUUCAAAGGUCAUUAUAGCCACAUCAUCGAAUCCAAAUGACUGUCGGAUUGUAAUAGUGUUGGCAUCACGGUCUCACGGUGUGAGAGUCAAAGAAUGUCCACACAAACUUCCUUUCUCAAACACAAGCACAUGGAAGUUUCCAAGCAAGAUACAAUUCUCCCUCUCUCUCAUCCGCAAUGUGUGGUGACAGUCAAAGGAUGUCCAUAAAAAUUUCCUUUCUUAAUUACAAGCACAUGGAAGUUUCCAAGACACGGUUCUCCCUCUUUCUAGUCCACAAAGACAAGUCUCUCUAGUGCUACAUUCUUUUUCUUUGAGAAAUCUCAAAUAGAGACCCAAAGUACCCUCAUUUCUCAAAGAUACAUAAAGUGAAGUCUAUCUCAAAUAAGGACCCAAGUGGUCAUUUAGUCUCAAAGAAGGGCCUUACUCGCCAGUCGGUGAAUAGAUGCAUCUCUGAUGCAUAUUCCAAUAGCCUAAUUAGGGUAUUUUGGUCUUCUUCUUUCUUUUCUUUUUCUUUUUUGAUUGUCCUAUUCAUCGUCUUCUUCAUCCCUAUUCAUCUUCUUCUUGCCCAGAUCAAGAACACUGGACUUGGAGAAAGGCCGGCGAGCACUAGCUAUUGGUAAGGGCCUAUGAGGACUCGACGCCCAUUGCUAGGGCUAAGCGAGCCCCCACUAUUGGCAAUGGGGGUCGAGCCCUCGUUGGCCCUUCCCAAGUCUAAUGUUCUUGAUCUAGGCAAGAAGAAGCCGAACAGGGGACAAAGAAGAUGAUGAAUAGCACAAUCAUUAACCAAAAAAAUAAAUAAAUAAACAGGACAACCGAAAAUGAAAAAAGAAUUUUUUUUGGACAAAAAUACCCAUGAUCGGGCCACCGGAAUAUGUAUCGGAGAUGCAUCUGUUCACUGGUCGGUGAGUGAGGUCCUUAUUUGAGACUAAAUGAUCAUUUUUUGUCUUUAUUUGAGACAGACUCCACUUCAGGUCGUCUUUUGAAAAAAUGUAGGCACUCUGGGUCCCUAUUUGGGAUUUUUCCCUUUUUCUUUUGUAACAUUCUGCUAAGUUCUUUUCUACUUUUUAUUUUGUCUUAGAUGGAGACUUCUUGACAAAACAAAGAUUAUCAUUAGAUAACUGCCGGCAAAAGAACGCUUCAAGUGCCAUAACUUUGGCCAAAGGGACACUUAAGUGCCAUAACUUACGAAAGGUACACUUAAGUGCCAAAUUCGAAAAAAAACGGAUCACUUGAGUGCCACUCCGGCCAAAGUCCGACCAAAACGCCAAUGUGGCGUAUUUCCGGUGAAGCGCGCCCAAAACGACGCCGUUUUGCACGCUGACGUGGCCAAAACGGCGUUGUUUUGGGCCGACGUGGCAAAAAGAAAAUUAAAUAAAUUAAUUUUAAAAUUAAAUUUAGUUAAAAUAUUUAAAAAUAAUAAUUUUAAAAUUAAAUUUAUUUAAAAUAUUUUAAAAAACUUUAAAAACCUUUAAAAAUAUUUUUAAAAAAUUAAAAAAAAUUUAAAAAAAAAANNNNNNNNNNNNNNNNNNNNNNNNNNNNNNNNNNNNNNNNNNNNNNNNNNNNNNNNNNNNNNNNNNNNNNNNNNNNNNNNNNNNNNNNNNNNNNNNNNNNUAUCAAAAAAUACAGUAAAAUAAGAAUUCAAAAAAUUAGGAAAAAAAUUUAAAACUUGGAUUUUGAGUAGUUUUACUAGAGUUAAUGUUAGAGGGGUUUAGAAUUAGUUUAGCAUAAAAAUGUGAAAAUAUUGUGAUGAAAAUUGAAUUCAAAAUUGAAUAAGCUUUUAAGCCAAAUCCCUCCCCAUCCCCCACCCCGUUUGGAAGGAUGUUUUCACGGGUAAAAAAAGCGAGGUGCAUCCAAGCCACUCAAUGCUUUCAAAGCCACCAAUGAUAGAAAAAUCCAAGGCGUGAUGACGGUUCCACGACGGAUUAACUAAAUUUAAUUUUAAAUUAAAUUAAAUUAUUUAUUUAUUUAUUUUGUUCCACGUCAGUCGAAACGACGCCGUUUUGGCCAUGUCAACGUGCAAAACGGCGCCGUUUUGGCCGCGCUUCGCCGGAAAAACGCCACGUUGGCAUUUUGGCCGGAUUUUGGCCGAAUUGGCACUCAAGUGAUCUCUUUUACUCCGAUUUUGGCACUUAAGUGUACCUUUCGUAAGUUAUGGCACUUAAGUGUCCCUUUGGGCAAAGUUAAGGCACUUGAGAGGUCCGCACGUCGAUAACUGCCUGGCAGGCUACUACCUUACUUUGGCCAGUCAAAUUUUCUCCAAUUUCUAUUAUUUUUGUUUGAACAAAUUUAUCCAUAUUAUUUGGCAAGAUGGUUCUAAUAAAGAAAUGUGUAUUGAAAAGCCCAAAUUUUCCCUACACUUCAUCUGUCUCACUUUUUCUUUUGAUGAGAAAAUGCAAUUGAAUCAAAAAACCUAUUAAAAGACAAUCAAAUAUUAAAAUUUAUCAAAUUGGUACAAUUAGGUCUCUCCGUUAAUUCUAUCUAAUUUUAUAAAGGGAAUAUGUCCAUGACUUUUUUUUAGAAUUUAAUUUCUCAAAAUACACGGAGCCAACGUGGUUUUUAACCCUUCCUUUUGAUUUACUAGUAUAAUAGUUUUGGUCUACUAUAAUAAUAACACCUUAUUAUGAGCCACAAAUUCUUAAAAAAGUGAACCCCACAAUAAUUUAUGAUUAUUUGUUAAUUAUUUUUUGUGGUAUAAAACAUUCUGUUAUUCCCACGCUAGUUUAGUGAUGACCCAAUCAUUUUUUUUUUCCUUCUCUCCAUUUACAUGCCUACUCUUGUUACUGCUCAUCUUCUUCUCAACGCGAGUUCAACCACGACCGUGAUUAUCAACGGUGUUUGCCCACCAAUCAAGCCUCCAAAGGAACGUCACCACCUUCAUCAAUCCCACCCUGACAGUCGACAGCCGCCGGCAUCGCUUCCAACAAGUCCGAAUGAGAUCCCCUGGUUUGGACUCACCAUUUUUGGAGCUCCAAGCAGCCAUUUUUCUUGGCUACGACACUUGUCGAGCUGUUUCUAGAGCGUCGUAUGCUCAUUCCGUGCCCCAUCCGAUGCAUACUAAGACCUGAGAGCCCCUAUUUUCGCGCUUUUGCGAGCUUCGCGUCCCUGGCCGGCAACCUAUGCCACGGCAGUGCUUCGGCCCUGUGUUAACACCCUUGACAACCCAAGCACAUUUAUGCCUUUCCGAAAUCGACCGGGACCAACCCCUUCCGUGGCUCUGCUCUGUUUCAACACUCACCGUCUUUGAGAGCAGGAAGUCGCCUUUCUCGCUUCACGGAAGUGCUCGUGCCAAGCGCUUCGCUAGUUUGCACGUUAGACAGUUCAAGUAAGCCACUUCAGACCCCAAAAAAAAAAGUAAGCCACUGAUUCAGUUUAUUUCACCCUUUUGGUGACCGAGAAGUCCUGGCUAAGCUAGAGCACGAGAGCCAAGGUGCUGCCGCCCAAAGAAGCAUUGGCAGAUUUUCCUUCUCUGUUUCUUUGGUCAUUGGAUUCUGCUCUCGGUGGAUUCAAAACCUUUUUUCUGGGCAAUUUUCUUUAUUGUUCUCUUCUGUUUGCGAGAUCCAAAGAUUGUAAACUGUCAUAGGUGGGUGGAUUUUCAAGAAGGAAUUGAGGAACUUGGAUCCCUCUCUCUCAUGCUGGAUGAGUUCUCAGGUUUCCUGCUGAAACAUGUCUCUGUUUUUUUUUUUUUGUAUAGUGUGACGCUGGGGCUUAUUAUUUCUUUCCCAAUUAACCCAAAACAGCUCGUUGAAUUUUGUAGUGUCUACUCUAGCUAGAUUUCCUGAUCAUUUGUCACUAUGGAUUGAUACGAGAAUGUUCCCUUUAUACUGUUCGCUAUUGUUGACGUGAUUCUUCUUGUUAUCCCAUCUCCACAAAGAGAUUGAAAUUUUCACUUACAUGCUCCAGGUGAAUCCUUUGAUUGAUUGUAGAUUCUACCAUGAGAUUAAUUGUAUUUGGAACAUAGAGCGUUGAAUCUUUUUCUCUCUUUCGGGUGUUCCUCAAUCAAAUACUCAAAAUCAAUUCAUUUAGGAACAUAUCCUAAAAAUCCACAAUUAAAUCAAUUCGGUACAAACCAAAGCUCAAAUAAAUAAACAGACCAUGCCACGACAAUCAGCAUGAAAUUCCGGUCACCGGUCAUCCCGGUUGAAUUUUUGAAAAAUAAAUAAAUAAAUAAUUAAUUAUUAAAUACUAAGAAAUCCAAUUUAGGCCCGUAUUGCCUAAUUGGAAGCUGGAACAGACUGGGAAAAAUCUCGAGGUUCCUUCAAUAAAUAAUAGAACAUUUCUACUUGCUAAUGACUAUGUCUAACCACCUAACAUGCAUUGGUAAGUCACAAAUUUAAUUAAUCUAAACUAAUCUAACCUCAUAAUCAUGUUUAAUUAACAUUAAUCAAUCAUUAAUCAUCAUUAGCAAACUAAGCGAGGUUUAGUGAGUUAAGCUCACCCGUUUAACAAUUCGUUCAGAUCAAAACGUCAGGAAUGUCGCGGGGGAUGUUUUUCUCCAAAGAGGGCCUAAGGUACGGGGCUCGGAAACACCUCAGAACAGUCUCCAAAUGCUAUUAGAAACCCACUUCUAAACCUUCUAUUUUAGCUGCAAAAAUAGAAGAAAACCAACUGAAAUGACAAGGCAAGGCUCUGGAAAGGCAACGGGGACGGUCUUAGGUCCAAACCGAGACAAACCGACGGUGGAGGAGGCUCCGGCAGUGGUUGGCAUGGCUGGACGACAAGCUAGCCGGUUGAAACAACAAGCUGGGUGGCGUGAGGGGGCGAGAAUGGGCGGAUGGCGUGCAGCUGGUGGCGCGCGCAGGCGGUGGUGUCCAAGCGUGUAGCGGGUGGCUCUCCAGCGUGCGGUGGCUACAUCUCCAUCUUGCUGCCGGUGGUUCGAAAAUGAGGAGGGAGAGAAUUUUGGCCGGUCGAGAGAGAGAGAGAGAGAGAGAGAGAGAGAGAGAGAGAGAGAGAGAGAGAGAGAGAGGGAGAUGAUAGAAAGAGAUAAGGGUGGAGGGGCCCUAUGCCUUCAUUUUCCAUAAAAAUAUCUCUUAAAACUUAUCAUAGGCCAAGUAUAAUCCCUUGGCUGUCCGUAGGCCACCAAUGCCUCCUUCUUGGACAUGUGAGAUGGUCCAAAAUGCCAGGGGGAAGGGGGCACACGAAUUUGACACAUUUUGGCUUAAAUUGGACAUCAAUUCUCUCUUGACUCACUCUUAAUUGGCUCUCAUAAAGUCAAUCCACCUACCAUCCGUCAUCUUAGCAUUUUUCCUCACCCAUGAGUCCAUCUCACAUUCCAAUUUUGCAAUAAAAAACAAUCACCGGCUUUUUCUGCACAAAAAUGAUCUUGCGACGACUUUUUCCCAAAAAGUGUUAGGUUGCAGAAAAAUCUUCUGAGACUGAGUCAACAUUCCUAGAAUUUAUUAUGAUAUGAUAGAAACUUUAAUUUCUGAAAUCGAACUUGAAUUCGUGGUUAAUUUCCAUUUGGCGCGUUUUUAGUGUGACCUAGGCCAUCGGAUAACUUUCAAAAAAAUUUAAGUGCAAAUAACUCGUGGUCAAUUUUCUUCGAGCCACAUUGAACCCACUCGACUCAUUGGUAACUCUCGGUUGUCGUGAACAUCUUGAUGAUUCAAAUACGGAUACAGGGUAUCAAAACAAUAAGAAAAUCAGUCUAGUACCAAUCGACGAGAAUAUUCCAAUUUAAUGGUAUCACCCACGAUUAGCCACACAUCUUUAUCAAACCGGUCUAUCUCUAAUUUUAAAUCGAUUUUUAACUAUACCGUAAUGGCUUCUAAAGAUGGACAUGGUUGAGAAGCCGAUUCUUGGUCAAAUUCUCAAAUCUAUUGCUUUAAAAUUUCUUAAUGAUUUCCCCAAAUAGUCUAGUUAUCUCAAGAGUGAUCAGCUAUUCUAGGCACAUCAAUGAAAUGUUCGAUUUAUUCAGUAGAAAGCAGGAUUGAAAAUUUGAGAUGUCACAACUCUUCCCCUCUUAUAAAAAUUUCGUCCUUGAAAUUUAAACAAUUACAAUAUUUAAGCAAAAAGGUGGGGGUACAAUUCUCUCAUUGACCCUUCAGUCUCCCAUGUCGCUCCUUCAGUACCGUAGUGUUGCUAGACCACUUUGACCAACGGAAUGGUCUUUGUACGCAGCACUUGUUUCUUUCCAUCCACAAUCUGGACCAGGCUUUCUACAUAUGACACUUGGUCAUGCACGUCCAAUUCCUCAAAAUUGAGCACGUGAGUCAAGUCAAGCUCAUACUUCCUUAACAUCGACAUGUGAAAGAUAUCAUGCACUUGCGCCAAUCUCGGCGGCAACGCAAGACGAUACACUAGGUUCCUAAUUCUCUCGAGAAUUUCAAAUGGACCUACGUACCUCAGACUCAGUUUGCCUUUCUUUCCAAAGUGCGAAGUUCCCCUCAUUGGUGACACCUUUAGAAAAAAAAUAAUCACCAACUUGGAAUUCUAAUUAUCUCCGGCACUUAUCUGCGUAACUUUUCUGUCUGCUCUGUGCGGUCUUUAAUCUGCCUCUGAUUAAUGCCACGGCAUCCACUGACCACUGGACCAACUCUAGGCCCGUAAUCUUCCUUUUCCCAACUUUAUCCCAACACACUAGUGUUCUGCACACUCUACCAUACAACGCUUCAAAUGGAGCCAUAUGAAUGCUUUGUUGAUAACUAUUAUUGUAUGCAAAUUCCACCAGGUGAAGCUGAUCUUCCCAAUUUCCUUAGAAGUCUAGUACACAAGCUCUCAGCAUGUCUUCAAGGUCUGAAUUAUCCUCUCAGACUGGCCAUCCGUCUGAGGAUGAUAUGCUGUACUGUACUGAAACUUUAAACCUAUAGAGCACUUUACAAGCUUUUCCAAAAAGCAGCUGUAAAUCUUGGGUUUCUAUCUGAGGUUAUCGUAACUGGCAUUACAUGCAUUCAAACCACCUAACGCAUGUAUAGGUCUGCGUGCCUAUCUAGAUUGAGGUCUUUUCGAACUACAAUGAAGUGAGUCGACUUUGUCAAUCUAUUGACUACCACCCAAAUUAAAUCAUUUCCUCUUUGACUCCUUGAUAGUCCAAUCUCGAAAUCUAUUGUGAUAUGUUCCCAUUUCCAUUCUAGGAUCGCGAGAGGUUGUAGAAGUCCUCCCGGGUUGCAAUGUUGAGCUUUAACAAGCUGACAUGUCAAACACUUGGCGACAUGCUUAGCGAUAUCCACCUUCAUACCCGACCACCAAUUGUAUUGAUGUAGAUUCUGAUACAUCUUAGUGCUUCUAGGAUGAAUACCGUAGCUGCUACGAUGUGCUUCAAAUAAAAUAUAUUUUCGAAGCUCCACAUCAUCAGGCACAACCAAACAUCCUCGGAACCUUAGUGUUUCGUCACUAGAGAUCUGAAAAUCAACAUUUCUUUUCUCAAUGUCCUCCUGAAGAAUUUUCUAUACAUUUGGAUCUGUCGAUUGGAGUAAUUUGAUCCUGACUUGGACAUUCGGUUUAAUUCUGAGGAUAGCCAUAAGACUUGAAAGGUGGCCUACCUCAAACUUGAAGACCGAAUCUCGAGUUCUUUCGAUUAAGUUCCACUCCUUAAUCAGUAUAUGUGCUACUAAAGACUUUUGACUCAAAGUAUCGACGACCUUGUUCGCCUUUCCUAGGUGAUAUAGAAAAUCACAAUCGUAGUCUUUUAGCAAUUCCAUCCAUCUGCAUUGUCUCAUAUUCAACUCCUUCUGAGAGAAUAGGUACUUGAAACUUUGAUGGUUCGUGAAGAUCUGGAAUUUUUCCCCACACAGAUAGUGUCUCCAAAUCUUCAGAGCAAAUAUAAUUGUCGCAAGCUCUAAGUCAUGUAUUGGGUAAUUCUGCUUGUGGGUCCUCAACUGAUGGGAGGUGUAUGCAACAACUCUACCAUGUUGCAUUAACACGCAACCCAACCCUCUGAAUGACGCAUCACUGUAGAUCUUGAAUCCUCCAAGACCAAAUGGAAUUGUCAAUACAGGUGUGGUAGUCAGCUUUUCUUUCAGCUCUUGGAAACUACUCUCACUUGUCUGUCCAUAUGACCUUCUCGUCUUUCUUCAGGAGUUUUGUUAGUAGCGAUGCUAACGAUGAAAAUUCUUCCACAAACCGUCUAUAAUAACCUGCCGAACCCAUAAAACUUCUUAUCUCUGUCACUGUAGUUGGUCUUGGCCAAUUGAUCAUGGCUUCUAUCUUGCUCAAGUCUACUAAAAUUCCUUCACCUAAGAUCACAUGUCCUAAUAAAGUAACAUGAGUCAACCAAAACUCGCACUUGCUAAACUUAGCGUACAUCUGAUGGACUCUUAGCUUUUGCAUCACUAAUCUCAAAUGAUUCUCGUGCCCUUCGUCACUUCGCGAGUAUACCGGGAUAUCAUCGAUGAACACGAUCACAAAUUGAUUUAGGUAUUCCUUGAAUACUUUGUUCAUCAAAUCCAUGAAGGCAGCUAGAGCAUUUGUCAACCCGAAUGGCAUCACUGUGAACUCAUACUGACCAUAUUGAGUACGAAACGCUGACUUAGGAAUAUCAUCAUUCCUAAUUCUUAGCUGAUGGUAUCAUGUCCUUAAGUCAAUCUUCGAGAAUAUUAAUGCUCCUUGCAACUGAUCGAACAGGUCAUUGAUCCUUGGGAGGGGAUACUUGUUCUUAAUGGUUACUUGGUUGAGUUGUCGAUAAUCAAUACAUAAGUGUAACGAACCAUCUUUCUUCUUAACAAAUAGAAAUGGUGCUCCCCAAGGUGAUACACUAGGAUGAAUGAAUCAUUUAUCCAAUAAUUCAUGCAUCUGUACCUUCAGUUCAUUCAACUCAGAUAACGUCAUCCGAUAAGAGGCUUUAGAGAUUGGCUCUAUUCCGAGUGCUAGCUCAAUUACAAACUCAAUCUCUCUCUCAUGUGGCAAUCCUGGCAAUUCCUUAGGGAAAACAUCUGGAUAAUCUUGCACGACUAAAAUGUCUUCCAUUUUCAGUUUUUCAGCUCUUGUAUCCACGACAGUUGCCAGAUACCCUUGGCAACCCUCGUCUAAUAGACGAGUUACCUCUAGCGACGAGAUCAAGACAAUCGAGGGUCCUCCUCGACUUCCUACAAACUCGAAACUCACCCCCUAACGGUUCAAACUGAAUCGCUUUGCAAUAGCAGUCCAUUUUAGCUCUUUACUUGGUGAGCCAGUUCAUGCCAAUUAUUAAAUCGAAAUCAUACAUGGCUAGGACUAAUAAAUAUAUUUUCCCCACUCGUUCACCAAUCACUAACUUGCACCCCAAACAACCCAAAGCAACAAUGACUUUAUCUUUCAAGGGUGUAGAUAUGCAAAUUUCUGACUCCAAUAAUAUAUGACUGACUCUUAUCAACUUAACAUAUUGCUUAGCAAUGAAGGAGUGAGUUGCUCAUGGAUCAAAUGAAACAUAAGUAAGAUGGUCAUUGAGCGAAACCAUACCUGUUAUCAUGUCAGGCACAAAUUUUGCCUAACCCUGUGUAAUAGCAUAUAUGGUGCCCUAAACUGGAAGUCUUAGCUAUCCUCCCUAUGGCGCAUUCGAAGGGGUAUACCCUCUUAUCCGUCCCAUUGGCAGCAGCAGCGGUAGCUGCAAUUGUCCCUUUAGCUUCCUGGGAUAAUUUCUGGCUAUGUGGCCCUAUUGGCCACAUUCGAAACACGCACCCGACCUAGAUGGGCACGGCGUUGACCCAUGUCGCCUUCCACAGAAGCGACACAUUUCAGUCCUAUUACGCUUUGACCUACCAAAUCCACCAUUCUUGUUAGGCAGGACUGGGAAUUUGCCUCCAGGAACAGGCCUCUUUCCUAGGCGAAUGCUGUCUCUAUGAGAGCUUAACCUCAAUCCAUAUGAGGCGGCUCUUUCGUUCUGAUCUUUCUCGAUCUUUUGAGCUCUCCAUGUCAUUAUAAGUUCUCAGAUCCAAAGAGACCAGUAUGCUUCUCAAGUCUGGCUUGAAUCCAUCCCUAAACCUUCACCUUCUCACUUGAUUCGCCGGGUUCUCAAUCAGUUCUGGAGCAUACUGCGAAAGUUCAACAAAUUUCGCCUCAUAUUGGUCGACGGUCAGGGAACCUUGGCGAAAACGUUGAAACUCUGCCAUCUUCACAUCUCUAGUAGUCUCGGAGAAUUUUUUUCAUUGAAGGCUUCUAAAAAGGUGUUCCACUCUAGAACGACACCUUAUGGAAAUAUUGCUCCUCGAGUAGUCUUCCACCAAGUAUUUGUAACUUCCUCCAAUUGGUAAGUUGCAAGGACUACUUUCUCCGUUUCAUUGCACGUCAGUAGUGCAAAAGCUUUCUUCAACUUCUGGAUCCAUGAAGCAGUAGCUCUAGGGUCUCUUGUCCCAGUGAACUAAGGUGGAUUCAGCCUCAAGAAUUGUUCCACCAGUUUGUAAAUUGGUCUUUCGGCGACUACUAUUCCUAGCGAGCCUUCGACGUGUGCGGCGGCAGGAGUAGCAACAGGUGCGGUGAUAGGUGCAACAACAGCAACAACUACUUGAUUCAAGGUCUAUUGUGCCAUGACAUCCCUCAUGGCCUCUAGCACCUGCAUAAUCCCUUCUAUUCUGAGAUCACCAGGAGCUACUACCCCGGCAUCCACUACAAGUGGUGCCCCUCUACUUGCGCUAGCUUGAGCUGGCGUUCGACCACGACCUCCUCAAGUACCGACCCUAGUCAGUGCUCUACCCCGAGUCACGGCCCUACUGGCCCUCUUGGCAGGAGUUAUUGGCUCCUGAUUGCUCAUGGUGUACCUUUAAUCUACUAAUACCUGCUUCCAAUUUAACACCGAAUUAGAAACAGAGCGAUCCAAACAACAAGCAAUUCUAGCACUCAGCUAACACAAACAUGCACCAACAUGAAUUUAAAGGCCUCUCCUACUACUAUCCUAUGAACCAUUGCUCCUUAUCACUCAAAACUUGAACUCUGCUCUUAUACCACCAAAACGUGAUGUCACGCCCCGAUCCUCGAACGUGUACCCAUCCCUCACUUGGUCGAUUAAUAGCAACGUCCCAAAACACAUCUCCGACCCAUUCAUUUUAAUACGCAUACGGAAGCAUAUAAAUAAAUCCCUAGAUAAUAAAAUAAUGGGAUAGAAAAGUAGGGCUAUAUUUUUCACAACUGAAAAAUAACACAACCACACUUUUAUACAAAGAUAACCCCAUAGUAUAUAAUACAAUACUAUUUACAAGUCUAAUCUACUAUCCCUCUGAUCAAAACUCAAAGUUUGCAAAACAAGGUAGAGGUCUCAAUCUUCGUCGGGAUCAUACUCUGGAUCAUCUUCUAGAUCCUCUUCCAACUCCUCUUCCUCAAGGUCUUCUUCUUCAAACUCCUCCUCUUCAAGUUCCACCUCAGGGUCCUCCUCAAGCUCAUCCACCGGCUCGUCCUCAGGCUCCUCCUCCAUGGGUUCAUCCUCCUGCCACUCCUCCUGGUCCACGAUCUCACCAUCCUCUCCGUUCCAGUUGUCGUCAUCAACUGAGUACACGGGAGCAUGAGCUUCGUCCUCAAGCUUCGAAUCCUUAACAUCCACUACCGACCCAUCCUUAUAAUCGGCCGUUCCUUCUCCGAACGCCUCUUCCAGAACGUACAUAAGCACCUCGCCUUCCGGUAUAGAACCUUCUCUUCACCCAUUGAAGUAAUGACGGUACCAUGAUCAAUACUCAUGGGGCCUCAGGGCGUCCUGACCCACGUCAACCCAGACGGUCGACUUAACCAGUACAUACUCUAAUCCUUCCGGAUGAGGGUGUAUGUAGAAGUGGUAUGCUACCUCUGAAAUCUCUUCAGGGAUGCCAAAAUGCAUCAGAGGACGACGAGGUAGAGGUGCUGCCAUCUAAGGGCCUGAAAUAUUAUCCCACAAUGGGGUGAGACUACGUCUCAGCGAAUUCUACCCUCCUAAGACUCGAUUAGUAAACCAAUACACUAUGGGCUGCCUAAGCACACACGAGUCAGAGGACUUACCUUGGCCUCAGAUCCCACCUGCAAAUCAGUACAAUUCAUAAUAGGCACCCACUUGUUCAACACAGAUCGAACUAUCAAUCAAUCGACCUAGUCAAUUACAUGUCAAUCAAACCAUUCCUCGGUCAUUUCAAUCAGUACCAUACAUUCUCCACGAUGGAAUAUCUAGUUGUUGAGCCCACAUGCAUUCUCUAGGAUGACAUACCGAGUCUCCAAGCCCAUGUGCAUUCUCCAGGAUGACAUACCGAGUUUCCGAGCCCACGUGCUUUCUCCAAGACAACGUAUCUACUCAUCGAACCCACGUACAUUUUCCAAGGUGGAAUAUCUAGUCAUUGAGCUAACAUGCAUUCUUCGAGGUGAUGCAUCACGUCAUCGAGCCCACAUGUCUUUUCCAAAAUGCCAUACUUUAAUCAUUGGGUCCACGUGCAUUCUCUAAGGUGAUGCAUUAAAUCACCGAGCCCACGAGUCCCUUUCAAGAUGCCAUAUUCAAUCACUGAGCCCACUUGCAUUCUCCCAGGUGAUAUAUCGACUCACCAAGCCCACGUGUCUUCUCCAAGGUGAUAUAUAUCCUACCACUAUUCCAAUAUAAUAUGAUGCCAUUCUCCGCGAUGAUAUGCUUAAUCAUCGAGCCGGCGUAAUACUAUACAUAAUCAAUCCCAACUCCACAAAUUCCACUAUUCUCCGUGGUUCACCAAUUUAUUUUUGAUACUGACAACCGAUAUCCGGUUGUUCCUCAAUCAAAUACUCAAAUUCAAUUCAUUUAGGAUAUCCUAAAAAUCCACAAUUAAAUCAAUUCGAUACAAACCAAAGCUCAAAUAAAUAAACGGAUUGCACCACGACAAUCAAAAUGAAAUUCUGGUCACCGAUCAUCCUGGUUGAGUUUUCGAAAAAUAAUUAAUUAUUAAAAAUUAUUUAUUAAAUACUAAUAAAUCCAAUUUAUGCCCAUAUUGCCUAAUUGGGAGCUGGAACGGACCGGGAAAAAUCUCGAGGUUCCUUCAAUAAAUAAUAGAACCUUUCUACUUGCUAAUGACUAUGUCUAACCACCUAACAUGCAUUGGUAAGUCACUAAUUUAAUUAAUCUAAACUAAUCUAACAUGCAAAUCAUGUUUAAUUAACACUAAUCAAUCAUUAAGCAUAAUUAGAAAACUAAGCGAGAUUUAGUGAGUUAAACUCACCCAUUUAACAAUCCAUUCAGAUCGAAACGUCGGGAACUUCGCGGGGGAUGUUUUUCUCCAAAGCGGGCUUAAGGUACAAGGCCCGGAAACACCUCAAAACGGUCUCCAAAGACAAAAACUUCAAUUUCUGAAAUCGUACUUGAAUUCGCAGUUAAUUUCCACUUGGCGCGUUUUUAGCGUGACCUAGGCCACUGGGUAACUUUCAGAAAUUUUUGAGUGUAAAUGACCCGUGGUCAAUUUUCUUCGAGCCACAUUGGACCCACUCAACUCAUUGACAACUUUCGGUUGUCGUGAAAAUCUCGAUGAUUCAAACAUGGACACAUGGUACCAAAAUAAUAAGAAAAUCAUUUUAGUGCCAGUCGACAAGAAUUUUCCAAUUUAGUGGUGUAAUCCACAAUUAGCCACGCAUCUCUGUCAAACCAAUCUAUCUCUGAUUUCAAAUUGAUUUUUAACUGUGCCAUAAUGGCCUCUAAAGAUGAACACGGUCGAGAAGCCGAUUCUUGAUCGAAUUCUUAAGUCUAUUGCUUUAAAAUUUCUUAAUGAUUUCCUCAGAUAGUCUAGUUAUCCCAAGAGUGAUCAGCUCUGAGAAUAGUCCUAUAGGCGCGUCAAUUAAAAUGCCUGAUUUAUUCAAUAGAAAUUUGGAUUGAAAAGCUCCAAGCUAGAGCCAAAAAGAAGCAUACAAAAGAAAUCCCCUCAUGUUUCAAUAAUUACCACUUCGAAGGAUUUUAAAAAGACAAUUUAAGCACAAACAUCGAUUUUACCAAGAGGUACUCUGCAACUAUCUUGAACAAUCCCAUAGCCCUGUCUUUGCCCUGCUUGAUUUCAUCUUCCUUGAGCUCUGCCCCUUCCUUAACAUGACAGUCGUUACUCAUCUUGCAAACGCAUCCACCAUCAGUUGAUGUGCACUUCACCUCAUAGACAAUGAAGUCAAUUUUGUCGAACUUGAUUCCACUUUCAAUCAAAGUAUAUUUGUAGUAGAAAUUCUCAACCUCAAGAGUGUCAAUCUUGUGCUUAGUGUACUAGAUGAGAGCACCUAUUACAUGAAUUCACAAAAGUGAAAAGAUUAAUUUUUUGUUUUGCAUUCUAUAAAUGAAUAUGACACGAUAGAUAAACAUCCAUUAUCUGACUUACUUUCGCCAAACUUGGUAUGCUUAAUACUACCAACUCCACCAUCUCCCUCAAUGAAUUACUCUUGUGCAAGCCCUCGCUCGCUUUCUACAACUUAUUCGUUUUUUUGUUAAUUUUAUUUUAAAUAAUUUAGUUUUAAAUUUAAUUUAAUUAAUAUUAAUAUUAAAAUUCAAAUUUGAGGCAAAACGACGUUAUUUUGGCUCUUCGUCGACCCAGCUCUUAGGCGAGCUAUAUUAAUAAAUAAAAAAUGCCACGUAGGAUUUUCAGCCAAGGUUACCGAAUUUGGCAUUCAAGUGUUCUAAUUUUCAAAAAAAUGGCACUUAAGUAUAACUUUCGUAACUUUUGGUAUCUAAAUGUUCUCCGGUGCCAAAUUUUGAUACUUGCAUUGUACUUCUACCGCUAUAAAUCAACUUGACAUGGUAAAGCUAUGUGUUUGAUCCCACUCACUUUCCCCAACGUUAGUCUAUUUAAUGCUACCAACUCCACCACCUCCCUCAACGAACUCAACACUCUUGAUGCCCUCGGGGACUAUCUUGGGAAUGAUGUUGUGUGACUCAAGGACCAAGCAUCCUCGAUGGAGCAAUGGCAGAUGUGAACUUUUGAGAGUAGGUGAUGACUCAUAUGUUUGCCUUGUAAGAAUCAAAGAGAAAUGAACUUGAGAAGACAGUGGAAGGAUUUGGGUGAUUGCUAUUGAGGAAGGCUUGAGCUGAUGAAGACGAUGAAGAGAAGCGCUUGGUAUUUAUAGUUGGUUAGCUGUUCGAAGCACUCCAAAUUGGACUGAUCAGCCUUGCUUUAAGCCUUUCUUCCUUUCUCAUUGGGGCAGAGCCACCAGUAAUCUAGAAGAUUAGGGACGAGUUCAUUAUAGAUCAAACAUGAAGGACCAUAAUUCUUUGUUCAUGUCGUGUUCACUGACACGGUAGAGGCAGUACAAUCUAAAUUGGUGAUAUAAAUAGAGAUAUCAACUUCAUAGAAAUUAUUUAUCAUGCCGACAAUGUAUUCUUCUAUACAUCAAUUAUUCCAUUUAUUAAAUGUUCACGUUCAUCGAUUAAGAUUCUCUAGACAUUCAAUCAUGUUAACUACCAUAUUCUCAAGUCACUAUUGGAAUAAUUGGAAAUGUCCAUAUAAUAGUUCCAGGCUAUGAUAUUAUUUGUCAAGUAUCGCAUUAAAAGAUGUUUUGAUGUGAUAUGCAUUGAGGUACAACCAGAUUCUAAACCAUUCAAAAUUGAAAAUGAUGGGAUACAACGUGAAUAGUCACCUUCCACAUUAUAGCAUUAAAUAUUGGGAUGGAUAAGAAAUGUGAUUUUUCAAGGCAUGUCUAGAUUGACUUUCACUUAAUUAAUCUUUGCCCUGCAGACCAUUUGACUCUUGUUUAUACCUAAAAAAUUUAAAACUUUCACAACAUACAAAUGGGAAAAAUGGCAUCAGUAGUCCCAAAAAUUAUGCUAAACAUGAAACCAAAUCUUAAACAAUUGAAUUUAUGCAAUAAUUUUUUUUUUACAGGAUGUAGUGUGGUCCUUCUGAUGAGGUAAACGGUCAAAUUCGAUGAUCUUGCACGCAAGAAUCUAUCGUCGUAUUUUAAACUACUUGUUAGCAUACGUGGCACCACAUCAGAAAAUAUAUCAAACAUACAAAAAAUUAAAUUAAAAAAGGAAAAAAAGUUUGGAGAAAACAAAAAUCUUAAAAAUAAACUAGAUCAAGUCAGAGAGAGUGGAGGCGCCAUGGACGAGCGUUCCAUCUCCACGGCGCCGACAAGCGUCGGGAUAUUUUUCAAUAUUCAAACAAUACGACGAAUUUUGGCACGAAAAUAUAACGUGCAUUUUAUUUAUAUGUAAAUGUACACAAAUAUGCUUUCAAGUAAAAACAUUAAAACAAUCGUAAGAAGCAAGCGCGAGGAAACAAAACAUCCUUCAAUGCACAAUUUUAUACAUAUAUACAUACAUACAAUAUAUAUAUAUAUAUAUAUAUAUAUAUAUAUAUAUUUUGUAUGUAUGUAUAUAUGUAUGUAUGUAUGUAUGUAUGUAUGUAAAAGCUAAAGAGGAUUAAGUUAUUUUAAAAUGACUUGUCCGAUCGAAUUACAAUCUUUGAGUCGUAAAACCGUCAUUCUCGGGGACUCUCUAUUGAUUGUGGUUGUGCUAACAUCACAAAAUGCCCAAACGUUUGGUCUGCAGCUUGACCGACAAAAGAUUGUUAAGAUGGCAAUAGGAGGUGAAGAUUACUAAGUUUUGGGAGGGUUUAGCCGAUAAAGAAGACCGGGUCAGGUCGAUGGAGAUGUCAGCGGAAAGUGGCCAAGUGUGGGAGCAAAGAGUCACUAAAUGAGGCAGGUUAACUCGGUCGAUGGGAAAGAAUAUAAGAUGUAGCCGUCAAGUAGCGGGAUAGAUAAGUGUUACCGAAUAAUAGGAGGCACGGAAGGCAAUUUUUAAUUCUUGGUAGCUGUUUAUGUAACCAAAUGUUGUAGAUUUAGAGAGUCAAAGCGAAGCGAAUUCUUUGUAAAAAAAUUGCCAAUCUAUCCAAGACUACGUGUUCAUCUUCAGGUGAUGCCACCCAUCUUUGCCUUGAAACGAACUCAAGUAGGAAAUGGAAGGAUCUGGUUUGGUGUCAUAGAAGAAGGCUUUUGCUGAUGAAGAUGAUGAAGAGAAAUCCAUAGUACUUACAACCAUGGCAAGUCCAUAGUUCAGUACUACAUCAUCAUCAUUCAAAGUACAAAGCACUCCCAAUUGGGCCGGGCCGAACUACUUUCAAGCCUUUCUUGUUUUCCUAUUGGGAGGAGCCAAUCCAGAAGGUUAGGAAAGGACAAAUCACGAUCAAAAGCUCCUUUGUCUGGCCCCGAUUUGCCUGGAUACGAUCUUUCUCGUCAAGAAAAUUGAAUUUCCAUGCUAUGAACUGAUUUAGACACAAAUUUAAGCUUAUAACAGACAGCCAUGACCACCAUUGCUAAGGUAUAUUCUACGUUCGUUCGUUGCGCCAUCAAGGAUGGCCGCAGAGCGCUUUUGCUUUGUUUCUCUUUUCUUUUCGCUUUUGCUCUGUUUCCGAAGGGCAAUUUUACUAGUUUGACUUUUCAAAUGCCUUUGAUAGCUACGUCCUCGGAUCCAAAUCACCGUACUCUAAAUUUGGAUCAACCCACAAAAACAAAUGUCUCUCUUGGGACCCUUCUUUCCAUUUCAAAUUUUUUGCUAAGUUCUUUUCUACCUUUUAUUUUAUUUUAUUUUAUUUUGUUUCUAGCCAAAUUUUCUCCAUUUUGUUUGGCAUGAUGGAUUUAAUUAGGUAAACAAUCUCAAUGUUUGCUUUCAGGAUUUGCGAAGAAGCAUACUACAGCUUAAUUCAUCAAUUUUAAGUUGCAUAGUUAUGAUGAAUACAAUUAGCAGAAAAAAAUUAACAAAUCAAAUUGGAUUUAUUCAUUUUUCCCUCUAUCUCUUCUUUAUGCAAUUGAUCCAUAAGUCAAGUCAAAAUUCGCCUUCAUGACCACAAAGGGAGAUCUUUUCGUGGGUAAAACCCAUAAUUUAUUGAAUUAUUCAUUGCUCCUUCAAGUUUUAUUUUUGGCAUGGCCUUACACACAACCAUCAAAUCCCUUUAUAACGUAGAAAUCACACAAUGAAAACCUUUCAGCCAAAGGCUCCAAGGCAAAGUCAAUGUGAAAACAAAAGAUACAAUAGAGACAUUUCACCCACUUUGCUAUAUCAUAACUCAAAAAUGAUCUUCAGAAUAGCAUUUAGGCACAAACAUCGGGAUUGGCCACAAGGUACUCCUCAAUAGCCUUGUACAAUCCCAUAGCUCUGUCUUUACCCUUCUUGAUAUCCUCCUCCUUGAGCUCACAACCCUCUUGGACGUGGUACUCGC
rnacentral:lncRNA from 1 species